GCAGAUCUUAGCUUAGCAUGCUUGUUUUCCCUUUGUUUUCUAUUGUUGCUUUAUAGUCUUUUGCUUCAAAGCAUAAUUGUCUGUUUGCUUUGAAUAUUAUUUGAAACAAGCUUGGCUCAAUUUAUGUCACUCUUUUUGGCCGGUGAGUGGGAGAAUGUCCCACCCUUUUUAUACCAAAAAGAAAUUAUAUUUUAAGUUUCAAAAGAAUUUUUAUUAUUAAGUGACAAAAAUAAAAAUUUAUUUCAAAAAGGAUUCAUUUCACAAUUAAAUUCAGAAUCGCCACUUGACAUAGAUCGGAUGUGUCAAGUCACCUUUAAAAAUUCUUGACUCUAAAAAUUGAUCCGCAAACAGAAAUUUCGACUAAGGAAUUCUGUUGACCGAGGGAAAAGUGUUAGGCACCCUUCGAUUUCGUGGUUCGACCACGGUUCGCAUUGUAGAGUAUAUCGGCCAGUAUGAUGCUACGAAUUGUAUAAACCAACAAAAACACGUAACAAGCAAACAAAACAUCCAAACAAUCAAAAAAAAUCUAAAAAUAGUGUCCAAUCUGAGUUAUACAGUCCCAAAAAUAGAAAAAUAUGGAAAUGUAAAUCCUAUUCUAAACUAAUCCUAGACAAAGCUCCAAUGAUUUACCCAAUGCCUCGAAUCUUCAUCACGAACCUCCUUUGCGUACAUGAUAAGUCGGGGCAUUCCCCGAUGAAUAAAUACAAAUGACCUCAGGGCAUUCCCCGACUAAAUAAAUACACUUUCAGUUUGCGAUAAAGUAGAAAGAACCAUUCACACUCACGUUCAAACAUUCAACAAAACACCAUUCCUAAAUUUGCCUACCCAAGCCUACCCGUUUGCCUAUUAAUUUCAAUCCAUCAUGAUGCUAUUGCGUUUAACAACAUCAACACUUAUUCCGAAUUAAACAAUCCUCAAUGAAUCAAAAUAACCAACCUUCAUCUUUCAUCAAAACCAAACCCUCCCCGAAUUCAUUCUCAAAAUAAUUACUCAAUUCUUCGACUACCAAUUCAAGUUUUCCCAUUCAAAUCCAACAUCAACCAACACACAACAAAGAUUCAAACAUGUCAAACAACAAAUCAUUCACAUUCACGUAGAAAUUAAAAGGGAUAGAAGAUAGAAUUGAACCUCAAUGCCAGUUUCAAAAUUGAUGUAUUAUUCCAAUUAACCCGAUUAAAUCCGCAUCCGAAAUACCUCGAUUUGAAACUCAAUAACGAACGACACCAACUCGAAUAUAGAAAGAUAAACCGGACAGAUUUAAACCAGCCAAAGCAACGUCAGUACAGACAUCGCCAAUUUCUACCGUCUUCUGGUAGACAUCGCUUCCGGCGAUAAUCCCCUUUUUUCCAGCGAUAACAGUCAGCCUGCACCUAUUUUUUCCUUCUCCCGAUCUCCCUCGUCUAUCUUUUUCUCCAAUUUUUGUUUCUUUUCCCUCUGAUUUUCACUCUCAGCUCUCCAAUGUUCUCAACUUUCUCUGCGUUUUCUCCUUCUCACUUUCACGAUCCGGUGUAGUGUGUGUUCUCUGCUUUCAAUGGAAAAUGCGGGGUCUAUGUGUGUGUUAUGUGAAAUACCCCUCUUCAAUUGUGAGAGUGAUGGUGUAUGUGGGAUAUUUUGAGAGUCUGUGUAGUGUAUUGAAAUUUUCGUUGGUCAGUGGAAAAUGGUGAGGAAAAUGGGGAGGAUGGGUGUGUGUUUCUCUUCACUGUAAUCUCCCGUCCCUCUGUGUGUGUAUACUAUCCCCCCCUCGAGAUGAAAGAAGCAAAAAUGGCCUCUGUGUGAGUGAAUAUAUAUAUGGCAGUGGUGUGUUGUAUUGUCUAUUAAUGGAAAAUGGAGUCCCUCCUAUGGGUUGUGUGUGUGUGGGUUCAGAAGAAGGAAAAAAUGGAGUCCCGUUAUCAGUGAUAUUGGGUGUGUUUGGUUUGAUGGAAAAUAUUUUUCAAUUUUUAUCAUUUUUGAAUGGAUUAAAAGUUUUGAAAAAUGUGUUUCAAAUCAACUUAUUUUUUUUAAUUCUAAGGAAAAUGACUUUUUUUAAAAAAAAAUAGAAAAAAGAUUUUUCAAAAUUGUCUUUCAGUCUCACUCUUAAAUUGAAAUAUUUAUACAACUCUCAAAAUCAUUCAUCCUACUUUUUUCUUAAGAAAAAUUAUUUAAUUUUUUUUAAAAAUUCUAAACUUUUUUCUUACCUCCUCUAUCCAACCCCCUUACCAACCUCCCUCUCCUCUCCUCCCCCCUCAAGAAAAUUAUUUUUUUGAAAUUUUUUAAUUUUUUCCUUAACCCACCCUUACCCCCGACCCCCACCCUCUAAUACUCCCAUUCAAAAAAAAUAUUUUAANNNNNNNNNNNNNNNNNNNNNNNNNNNNNNNNNNNNNNNNNNAUUUUCUUAUUCCACCCUUAUUACCUAUUUUGACAACCUCAACCCCUACCUACCAACCCCCUCUCAAAAAAAAAAUAAAAAAAUUUAAAUUUGUUUUGUAAAAAAAAAAUUCAAAACUUUUUUCUUAUCCCAUCCUUUUUAUCCUAUUUGUUCUCAUUAUUUUUGUUAAAUAUAUACAAAUACUUUUUGAAAACAUAUAUUUAUCCAAUUUGCAUAACGACCACACGAAUAUAAGUAAGAAAUAACUUAUUUUUCUAGAAAAUAUUUUUCCUCCGUCAUAUCGAACGCACCCUAAAAAAAGUAUUUUUUGAGAUCAAAAAAUUAUUUUUCUUAAAUGUAUUUUUACGCUUUAGCUAAACAUUAGAACGUAUUUUUUGAAAAAUAUUUUUUCAUUCACCAACCAAACACUAUAAAAUAUUUUUCGAAAAAUAUUUUUCAUCCACCAAUCAAAUAUAGGAAAGCAAGUAAGAAAUCAACUUGUUUUUCAGGAAAACAUUUUCCUUCAUACCAAACACACCCAUUGUGUGUGUAUUUCUUUGAAUUGUGUCCAUUGCUGUUAAAGGAAAAAAGAUGGAAAAUACGUGUAAAGGGGGCUAAUGAAGUAGGGUAGGGGGUGGGGACACGUGGGUAGGGGUAUGUGGGGGUGGAGUGGUGAUGUGUUGUCAAAAUUUGAUAGGAAGGGGUUGUUAUUUUGUUUCAAUUGGGAUUAUGUGGGAAUUUGGGGAUAAAAUUUGUUUAGCGUUGAUUAUUAUUUUGUUAUGUUGUGAAAAAAUUAUGUAAUGGGGUUGGGGUGCAUGGUAAGAUGGAGUAAAUGAUAAAAAUAAUUUUUGGAGGGACAAAAUUAUGUGUCUACAUCAUGCCUCAUUUGGAGGUAAACACAACGUGUUUUCAGACAAAGAAGUAGACAACGAGACAAAAUUUUAUCCCGAGUAUUAUUCAAAAGAGAGAAACAAAAGGAAGGAGCACAACUGAGUUUUAAUUUUGAGCAUCCUUCCUAUCCUAAGUUAUGUGGGAUUCAAGUCGCAGAUGGUUUCAGGAUUGACAAAGAGGGACUAUACCGAGUUGGAGAGUCGAGUGAGGUCCUGUCUAGGUUCCGAUCCGCGGAUCUGUUAUUACAUCAAAAUAAAAAUUACAAGUUAAAAAGAUAAAUGAAAUUACAAAAGUCCUAUCUAUGCAGCUUCUUUUGGACUUUUGACUUGAGUUUCUGAUGCUUUCAAAAUUGACAAAAGAUCUGAUCUUCUUUGGGUUGAACUUAAGAAUAGAUUCUUUCUCCAUACAAAAUUUGAUAUUGGAGAUGAACUCACAAAUUGACCAUGUUCUAUCGGUGGUACUUCUGAACCUUGAUCCUGAAUUUGAAAAUCUUCACCUUAUUCUUCAGGCGGGCACCUGACUUACAAUUUCUUCACAUUGUUGCUUGGCUUUCAAUUUCAUCACCCUAUUCUCCAGGUAGGCUCCUGACUUGCUAUUUUUAAUCUUUUGAUUUUCAAUUUCAUCUCCCUGCUCUUUGGGCGGGCUCCUGACUUAUAAUUUCCUCAUUUUAUUGCCUUUCAAUUGCUUCACAUUGUUACUUGACUUACAAUCUCUUAACCUUGUUACUUGACUUGCAAUUUUUUCACCUUGUUAUCUGACUUUCAAUUUCUUCAUUCUGUUCUUCAAGUGGGCUCCUAACUUGCAGUUUUCUCACUCUGUUCUCCGGGUGAGCUCUUGACUUGCAAUUUCAUCACCCUAUUCUUCAGGCGGGCUCCUGACUUGCAAUUUCCUCACUCUAUUCUCCGGGAUAGCUCCCGACUUUCAAUUUCAUCACCCUAUUUUUCGAGCGGGCUCCCGACUUGCAAUUUCCUCACUCUGUUCUCUCUGGGUGAGCUUUCGACUUUUAAUUUCAUCACUCUAUUCUUCUGGCGGGCUCUCGACUGCAAUUUUCUCACUCUGUUCUUCGGGCGAGCUCCCGACUUUUAAUUUUAUCAUCCUAUUCUUCGGGCUGGCUUCCGAUUUGUAAUUUUUUCACUCUGUUCUUCGGGCGAGCUCCUAAUUUUCAAUUUCAUCACCCUAUUCUUUAGACGGGCUCCCGAGUUGCAAUUUCUUCACUCUGUUCACCGGGUAAGCUCUCGAUUUUCAAUUCCAUCACCCUAUUUUUCGGGUGGGCUCCCGAGUUGUAAUUUCCUUACUCUGUUCUCUAGGAGAGCUCCCGACUUGCAAUUUCAUCACCCUAUUAUUUGGGCGGGCUCCCGACUUGUAAUUUCCUCACUCUGUUUUCCGAGCGAGCUCCUGACUUUCAAUUUCAUCACCCUAUUCUUCGGGCAGGCUCCUGACUUGCAAUUUUCUCACUCUGUUCUUCGAGCGAGCUCCCAAUUUUCAAUUUCAUCACCUUAUUCUUGGGGUGGGCUUCCUACUUGCAAUUUUCUUACUCUGUUCUCCAAGCAAGCUCUCGACUUUUAAUUUCAUCACCCUAUUAUUCGGACGGGCUCCCGACUUGCAAUUUUCUCACUCUGUUCUUUGGGCGAGCUCCCGGCUUUUAAUUUUACUACCCUAUUCUUUGGGUGGGCUCCGGAGUUGCAAUUUCUUUACUCUGUUCUUUGGAAGAGCUCCCGACUUACAAUUUCAUCACCCUGUUCUUCAGGCGGGCUCUUGACUUUCAAUUUCAUCACCCUGUUCUUCAGGCGGGCUCCUGACUUUCAAUUUCAUCACCCUGUUCUUCAGGUGGGCUUCUAACUUGCAAUUUCAUCUUCCUGUUCUUCAGGCGGGCUCCUGUUCAUUAAAAUCAAAGCUAGAACAAAAUUAUCCCAAACAAACAUUAUGAUAGAGAAAGAUUUCAUUUUUUUAAAAAAUAAAGUCCUAUUUUCCAGGAGGGUCAUGAGCAGAAAGUAAUGUCCCAUUUUCAAGAAGGUUUUGAACAGAAAGUAAUGUCCCAUUUUCUAGGAGGUCCUGAACAUGAAGUGAAUUUUCGGAUAUGCUUUUUCAAUGGUAGCUGAACUUAAUGAACAAAACUUUACCCCUGUUUCAUCAAAGAAAAAUUUGUUAGUUGAAAACUUAGUGGUGACUUGCAGCACUUGGCUUCCCAGCCAUCUGCUACGGUGCUCGUUCCUUUCAUCUUUGUUUUAGAUUGCUGACACUUGCUCCUAUCUUGUCGCAUCAUUGACCCAAACCUAGAUUAAGAGAGAUGACUUUGACUCGAACACCAAAUUUCUAUUUUACCAAGCCUUUGAAACCUGAUAUUCUCACGAAUCCAGCAACCUGUCGGUUGAUAGACUUCCUUUGCUUUGUUUUGAAUUAUGAUCAUGUUUCUUUCAUGUGCUGGUCCUUGGCUUUUCCUCAUGUAAUUGGGAAGACUGGUAGCAAGUUUUGAAAUACUUUCUCACUUGUUUUGACAUAAACUUGACUCAAAAAUAAGAGAAAAAUGACAAUGAUGAUUUUUUUUAUUGGGAUAACUGACUCAAGAAAAUAAAAUAAAAAUAAAGAGAAUAAAGAAAAGACAAUGAAUGUCCCCAUUUGAAAUAAAAAAUUAAAAUUUAUCUAAAAAUGACAGUAACUCUAAUGAUUAUGCCAUGGAUUUUGGAUUAAGCUGCCCGAUCUUUCCAUCCAAACUUUCAACCAAUUGUUCUUGAGUUAAUGGCCUUAAAACUGAGUUACUUACUUGGGCCAAUUGCAUUCAGAGUCCUUAUUCGGCUAGUGACGUCUUGAAGGGUUUUCGCCAACAAGCAUCUCUCAUUUUCUUUUCUCAGCUCACCAUUGUCUUAUGGUGUCCGUGAGGGGUUUUGACCAAUGAAACUCUUAUUUUUAUUUCUCUCAACUCAUAGUCAUCUUACAGUGCUCGUGAGGGUUUUUACUGAUAAGAUUCUCUCAUUUUUAUCUCUCUCAACUUACCAUUGCCUUACGGUUCCCAUGAGGGUUUUCACCUAUAAUACUCUCUCAUUUUUAUUUCUCUCCUAAUUCCUUAUGCUGAGGAAGACGAGUAGUUCCCAAAAUGUGUCAUCAUAUCCAUUGCAUGCUUAGCCUUAACAUUCUCAAAGAUUAAUCUGAAAGUCUUUCUUUAGUUGUAACUUGGCUUUUGGAUAAGGUUUAGGAAGAAAGGAUGACAUGAGGCCUAAACGACAGUUGAAGUGGGGUAGGACUUAUAACUCAUGAAAUCAAACAAUGAGGAUUAAGUCAUGCCCAAGUUUCUUUUGGAUGGGUGACUCUAAAUUAUUUAUUUGGUUAGACUGAACCCCGAGUAGGGCAACCUACGUAUCUCACUCUCUCUUGAGAAGAAUCAGGCCACACGUAGUUCCGACAGUUCGUUCUUUUGCUUGAUUUUGAUUUCUUCUCCUCUUUUUUUCCAUUUUUUUUCUUUUUUCUUUCUCUUUGAAACUUUUCUAGCUUUAUUUUUCUUGACACUCUUCUUUUUCUUUCUUUUUGACACAUUUUUUCUGACUCUAUUCUUUUGCUCGACACUUUUCUUUUGAACUUUGCCAACUCUUAUCAUUGAUUCCAAAAGAGGGGUAUGAAAAAAAAUAAAACUAAAGCUCAAACGGGGUUCACAAAGGAUGACACAAUGUUUGGAUAGUAGAAUGAAAUAUCUCCGUCAUAUCAAUCCUUGAAAAUGCAAGUAUAUAUCAUGCAAUGUGAAAGUGAAAGAUGGAGAUCAUUCGUGACAUUUUUACUGCACUAACUUUAACUGAAUUUGUGCAUCACUAAUCUUGCACUUGGUUCAACAUACCACUCCACUUUUGUUAUCCAUUCCUCAUGCUGAAGGACUCAUGACUUCGUGGAGCUGAUUCUUUCUAUUCCUCUUGAUAUAGGAUUACACAGCCACUGUUUAACCUAAUCGAGACAUGUCUUUCAAUUGAUGACCAAGUUAUUCUUGUGAUUCUCAAAAUAAUUGCCUUAAUUUUCAAAGAAGGCUUCAACUAAGGGCGUUAAGUGGGCCAGGUCGGGUAACCCAGAACCGGCCCAUGAAUUUUAACCGGGUUGUAGGUACGGAUCCGGGCCUGAUUAAAAAACUCUGAAUCAACCCACUUAACCUAAUCCGGUCCAAUCCACCUAAACUGGGUCAAAACGAUUAAAAAUUCGAUCGAAACCCGUCAAAAAUUAAAAAAAAUCUCCAAUAUACACUAUAUACACACAUAUAUACAUUUUAAAUACGUUAAAAAAUAUAUAUACACUAUAUAUAUAGUAUAUGCUACAUUAGAAUUUAAAAAAUAUAUACACAUAUACACAGUUACACAGUAAUCGUGUAUACGACUAUACAUUAGUUAAAUAUAUAUACUACUCUAAAGAAAACAUAUACUACAAGAUAUAUACUAAUUUAUAAAACAUAUACACAUGUAUACGUUAAAUAUAUACUACUUUAGAAAAUAUAUACACAUAUUUACGUAUCAUUCAAUAUAUGUACAUCUUUAAAUAAAAUAUACUACAAUAUAUAGACAAACUAUAUAUAGUUAUAUAUUAAAUUAUAAAAUAUAUACAUAUGUAUACGUUAAAUAUAUACUACUUUAGAAAAUAUAUACACAUAUUUACGUAUCAUUCAAUAUAUGUACAUCUUUAAAUAAAAUAUACUACAAUAUAUAGACAAACUAUAUAUAGUUAUAUAUUAAAUUAUAAAAUAUAUACAUAUGUAUACGUUAAAUAUAUACUACUUUAGAAAAUAUAUACACAUAUUUACGUAUCAUUCAAUAUAUGUACAUCUUUAAAUAAAAUAUACUACAAUAUAUAGACAAACUAUAUAUAGUUAUAUAUUAAAUUAUAAAAUAUAUACAUAUGUAUACGUUAAAUAUAUACUACUUUAGAAAAUAUAUACACAUAUUUACGUAUCAUUCAAUAUAUGUACAUCUUUAAAUAAAAUAUACUACAAUAUAUAGACAAACUAUAUAUAGUUAUAUAUUAAAUUAUAAAAUAUAUACAUAUGUAUACGUUAAAUAUAUACUACUUUAGAAAAUAUAUACACAUAUUUACGUAUCAUUCAAUAUAUGUACUUCUUUAAAUAAAACAUAUGCUACUUAGUAUAAUAAAUUAAUAAUAAUUGAUAGUAAAUUAGCAAUAUAUUAAAACUAAGUAUUUGAUUUAAACUAGAAAUUCAAUUUAAAUCAUUAAAUAGAAAAAAUUACAAAGUAAGGACUAAGAAGUGAAUGAAUGUAGAAUUUUAUUGAUUCCAAAAUGAUCCAAAUUUUUUAAUUUACAUGAAUGAAAAAUCUACGAAUUUUACAUCAUUUUUUCCAACUCAUUCAUGUUAAUAUUAACGGAAACUUGCAUAGGAUAGUCAAAGUCAACGGGGGCAAAACCAUGCAUUGGACUUGAUUCUACUGAGUUCUCCCGUGAAGUUAUAAUUUUUUCAAGUCUCUUCUAGUCGUUCGGUUCUGCUUCCAUUCCUUGAUUUCUUCGUUCCGCUCUAAUCCAAUCUCUAAGGCAAACUAGAACAUUCAUUGCAUUGCUUCCUAAUGAGUGUCGGUUGUCUCCAAGCUGCUGUCGUCCCUGACUAAAAGUGCUCUCUGAUGCAACGAUUGACAUUGGAACAUUCAAGAUAUCUCUAGCUAAUCUUGAAAGCAUAGGAUAUUGUGUUUCAUUAUUCCUCCACCAAUCCAACGCGUUGAUCCAUCGUCUGUGAUUCUCUAUCGGCGUUAGGAGAUAAUACUUCAGCUCUUCCCGAUAAGUUGUUGUGUAAACUCCCUCCUCAACAUUGUUCCAACAAGUUAAAUCAUAAAAGUAAUCAAGAAAACCACUAUGUGCCAGCCUUUUAGAAGAUGAUGGCUCAUCAGGAUGAUGAAGAGCGACAGUUGGAGUGAUAUUUGUCGGUAUAGCUAAAUCAACUAAAUCAGCAUAGUGGUUAUAUAAUUUAUCUAUGUAAUCGUUCGCAUCGGCCAUAGCCGUCCAUAAAUCAGGUUGUUCUUGUUCUUCAUCAUCAGAAUCAUUGUUAGUAUUUAUCUCUAAGUUAGCAUAAAUAAAAGUACUAAAAUGGCACAUAGUAUUAUAUUUAAUGCACGAAUUUGGCAUAGCACCAACCAAGUAAAUAGGGGAAAUCCAAAAAAAAUAUUUUUGAAAUUUAGCGAACAUGACACCAACAGCUUCUUUGUAACCUUCUUUAUUUUUAUAUUCUUUGAACAAACGAGAAAUAUCGGCUAUAUAUGCCAAAAUAUUACAAACAGUAGGAUAGUAAGCAUCGGAAAAUUCAACCGUAGCUAUAUAAAUUUUUUUCAAAAACUUAACAAGAUCAUCAAUUACAGCCCAAUCAGAAUCGUAUAGCAUGCAGUGGGCAGAAUCAGUAAAUGAACCACAAUGUUGGUUAAAAGAUAGUGUAAUAGGAACUCUAUAUUUAUGACAAGUUUUUAAAAAAUAAUACCUAACAUUCCAUCUAGUAUCACAUUCUUUAGGCAUCAAUAUCGGUGCAAGUCUAUUUUUUUCACAUUUAAGUUUAAAGUCUCUAAUUCUUUUUCUACAGUUAUUUCCUUGAAUAAAACCAACGGCAAGCCAAAUUUUUUUAAUAUAAAGCUCAAAAAGCUCAAGACCAUCUCUUACAAUAUGACAAGCACACUUAACAUAAAAAAUUUCAGGUAACGGCAAAGAUAACUUAGAUUUUAACUUUGUUAUAGCAGUCUUGUUGUUAGAAGCAUUAUAAAAAGCAAUACAUAUGAUUUUAUUUUCAAUACCAUAAAAUUCUGCAACUUUAACAAUCGAAUCAGCAAUAAAAUUUCCAGUAUGUUUACGAUCUUUAUCAUAUAAAAAAGCAAGAAUACGUGUUUGCAUAACAAAAUUACUAUCUAUCCAGUGACAAGUAAUGGUUAAAUAAUUAUUUUUAUUUACAGCACAACCAAGAUCAGAAGUUAGGGACAUUCUACAUUGAAUAUAUCUUUUAACAAUGUUGAUAAAUAAAAACAAUAUUGUGAAUGAAGUCUAAAAAUAUCGGCCCGACAAGUAUUUCUAGGAAUACCAUUAAACAUAAGAUUAUAAAUUGCUUGAAUAUAAUGCAUAAAGACAUCAGAAAAAGGAAAACUAAAAGGCAAACAACCUACAACUAUCAUUUUUGCUAUUUCUUCCCAGUUUCUCAAUUUAUUAUACUUCUUCAUUACCUGACUGGUUGCUGGGUCCAUUCUAGUUUGUGUUGGCCCACCAACAUCUGCACCACCUUGUGCAAUUUUUAACUCUCUUUUGUGAUUAUCACUUAUAUGUCUCAUUAACGUACCCGUACCCCCUUGCUUGUCUCCUCUUUUAUGCUUAUAUAUUUGUUGACAAAUAUUGCAUUGCACCUCAAUAUCUGAUAUACGUUCAAAAAAUUGUCAUGCAAUACUAGUUGUUUUACGAGCUCUUGGGGCAUGGAGAGGACGGGGAGAGAGAUUAACCGAUUCAGAUCUAAUGUUAGCAUUUUCUACUGCGGGUAUCUUACCAAUAUUUUCAUCAUCUUCAUCUAAAUUAACCGCAUCUACUUCAUUUUCUUCUUCUAUACCGUAAUUUUCCUGAGCUUCUACAUAAUACAUAUCGUGAGCACCUACACCUAUUUCUUCCUCAAAAGGUUGACUAAGCGGUACCAGAGGUGGAGGCACAUGGGUAUAUCUACUAUUUGAAGUACCUCUACUGGUAGUAAUUCGCUUUUUACUACCACUACCACUAUCGGGAUAAUUUUUUUUAACACCUUUAGUGGUGAAGUUUCUUAAUUUAUCCAUAAUUUAAAUUAAAUUAAAAAAAUUCAAAAUACACAAAUAUAAUAAAAUUAAAUAUUCAACAAUUAGUACACUAAUUAAAAAUUAAAAGUAAGAGAUGGAACGGCAAUACCAAAUUUUAGAAGUAUUUGAAGGUUGCGACUUUAGGAACUUCCACUCGUACUUUGUAAUCGCAAAAUUAAAAAAUUAAAGUGAGCACUUUAAAAAAUAUAUAGGAUAUUUGAGAAUUGAGAUUUGAGCGAGAAUGAGAUUUGAGGGAAUAAAAAUUGUGUGAAAAAUAAUUUGAAAGUGUAGGGUAUUUAUAGGAAUUUUUUUGGGUUUAAGAAUAUAUUUUAAUUGAUUUUUUUUUUAAAAUAAAAAUGGUAAUAUAGCCGUUUUUGAGACCCAAACGGUAAUAUAGCCGUUGGGUCCAACGGUCAAAUUGGCCUAACAACCAAAAUAAUUUUUUUUUUAAAAAUAAACUAUCCUGGCCGGUUCUGGGUCGGUUAACCAACAGGCCUGGAUCGAGUUUGGUCCGAGCCGGGUUAAUCGGACCCAAAACCAAAGAUAACCCAGUCUGGGAUCCGAUACCCUACAGUCCGUGGGAUGAUCGGGCCGGAUCAAAUCGGUUUGGGUUUGCUAAGUAGGCCGGGACGGGUCAACUCGGCCCGUUUGACAGGCUUAGUUUCAACUUGUCACCAAAUGUCUCAGCACUCUACCUAUUUUCUCAGAUGUUUUUCUAACUGCAGCCCUUUGAUUUAAUGUUUUAUGAUUAAAUUUGAUUUUAAGAUCUGACUGAAAAUUUUACAAGCAUGUCAUAACACUAGAAUCAACAUAAAAUGUACUAUGUAAAGAAAACAAACAAACAACACAUAUUUAAAACACAAAGUUAAAAGGGUUUAAUUAAAAUGAAAGAUAGAAGGGUUCAAACAAAGACGACAACAAAAUAAAAAAAGAUAGAUUCCGAACUACAACCCUGAAAUAAUUUAAAAAACAGAAAGGAAAACAAAAUAAACUACCAGACCUCUUCCUAGUAGGGAGAGGAGUGGUUUCUCAAUUGUUGAGCCUGACAUUUUAGCCACUGGUUUGUAUAUCAGCAUGACUAGAGCUUUCACCGUUGUCCAACACGUUUCCUUCAACAAAUAAAUUUUGAAUUCCCAUGCUUCACUCAUUGCUUCCCACGCGUUGUGCAUUACCGUAUGUUAGUGAAGGAUUUCGUAUGACACUCGUAGUGUCAAUGUCUUGCACUACAAUCAAUUUUUCUUAAAUUAUCCUUUCUAUUUCUCUUUUCAAAGCACCACAAUCCUUAAUACUUUAACCCUGAAUAUCAGAAUGAUAUGCACAUCGUACAUGAAGAUCAAAAUUUCUUGAAUGUGGGUUAGGAGUAUACCCAAGGAGAGAAGUGAUCAUUCCUCAUUGUACUAAUCUCUGGAACAUAUUGGCAUAUGAUUCUCUAAUUGGCGUGAAACUAUCCCUAAGGUUCUUUCUAUUCUCAUUGUUAAACUUGGAUCGAACAUCGGGCCUAGAAGGGCUUUGAUAUGUUUAUGGAGUUGGGGUAUGACUCUAAGGAGUUGGUGCGCACCAUUGUGAGUAAGAAAGGGGUUGCACUUAUGUUUGGGCGUUAUAUACUGGAUAUGGAGGUAGGGAAAUGAAGUAUAAUCGAUUUUAUGAGUGAUUAUAUAGAGCUUGUGUAUGAACUUGGGCUUGAAACCAAGGGUACCAACGAUGUGGUCUUCUUGGACGUGCCCGUUGUCCAACUACAAUAGCAGCUAGAUCUUUCUCAUUCUUCUUCCCUCCAGUUUCCCUUAAUUGAUUACAAUAUUGUCCCAAAUGUUUCACGAAUUCUUUAUGUCCAUCUUGCUCCUCAAAUUUCAACAUCUCAAGGAUUGGAGGAAGGCUAACACUUGAAGACAUGCCCAGUAUUUGUAUGAAAGAUCUUUACCCGAAGGUCCUAGGUAACUUUUCAUAGAGUUUUCUACACUCUUUAUUUUCCCUGCAAUUUUCUCUGGAUCUUCUGGCACGCUAGGCUUCUUGUAAAGAAGUUUUGGUGGUUCAAUUAACUCAAAAGUAGGCUCAGAAAUAUAACAAUGAUCACUAAGAGUAUUGAACAUAGGUCCACUAGCAGCAUAAGGAAGCACAACCAUUGGGCGGCUAGCCAGUGUGGAAGUCUCAGCAGAGGAUUGAGCAACAAAAUCACAGACGACAUGUGUUGUUGUGAAAGUAGUAGGCUUAUGCUGAGGAGAUAGAGAAAGAAUGGUGGAAGUAUUGAGAUGCAUUUGCCUUGGAAUGAAUUCUGAGUCAUGUUACUGUACAUCAACAAUAGUAGGAAACUGACUUUGCAAUUUUGGUAGAAAACUUGAGGUAUUUGUAGGAUCAAUAGCGGUAAAUGGAGGAGGAGGAAACCCACUGGCUCAAGCUCGAUGCAUUUUAGUUUAUUUGUUGCCUUAGUCUCAAAAUCUCUUGCUUUAAACUCUUAUUUUCCUUACUCUUUGUCUGAUCCAUGAUGUCGCUCUCUAUAUCGUUGUUGGACACAACUAACCCUUCCUUGGACUUGGUGUGAUGUGGAGGACCAGCCAGAAUGCCACAAACCAACCACCUUAAACUAACUGAACAAGAGAUAACAAAGGCGUUAAAAUGCAACACUUCUUAAAACUGUUUUGCUCCUUUUGUUUUGAAAAGAUCACCGAACCCAUGAAGGGCACCUAUGUAUCCGACUCCCGAGCGAGGAGAAUCAGGUGUGCGUAGUUAUUGAAGUUUGGCCACAAAAUGACCGAUCAACUCUUUUUUUUUUUCUUUUUUUUCUUGAAACUUUAAGAAGAAAAGAAAAUAACAAAUUGUCAAAAAAAUUGACGAAAAUCUUUUUGAAUUUUUCAGCUUUAACAUGUCUAUACAAAAUGAAACCUGUGAUCGCCAAAGAAAAAUCUUUUUGGGUUUUCGAUUUUGAAUUCCAUACGAAAAUGAAACUUGAACCUAUUAAAGAAAAAUCUUUUUGUAGUUUUAUUUUAAAAUAUGUAUAUGACACCUACUAUAAAUGAAGAGUGAAAAAAAUCUUUUUGGAUUUUUUAAAUAAGAUCAUUGAACCCUAGAAGGGCUGCCUACGUAUCUCACUCCCGAGAGAGAGAGGAGAAUCAGGUGUGCAUAGUUCGUCCAGAUUGGACAAUGGAUUAACUAGCAAACUGGACCCUGAUUUGAGAGACACGACCAAAGACAAACGACAAAAGACGUUAAUAAAAUAUUUUUUGAGUUUUACAUUUGAAACUUCACAUAAAAAUAAUACAAACAACUAUGAAAGGAAAAUCUUUUUGGUCUUUUCGUUAUAAGAAAUGUACAAAACUUCUACCAUCUUUUUGAAUUUUUCUCUUUUAUAAAAAGCUCCUAUUGAAAAAAUUCUUUUUUAAAAAUUUUUGACUUAUAAAUGCUUGCUAAAAAGAACAGAAGAAAAAUCUCUUUGAGUUUUUAGAUUGUGAAAAACAAAAGUUAUAAAGAACACUAAAAAAGAAAACUACAAAACUCUUUUUUUUUACUCACUUUUCUUUUUGCCCUUUUUUUUUCUUUUUCUAACCUUUCCUUGCCUACACAUUUUUCUUUAAUUCUAGCACAUGAUUUUUCCCAAACAGUCCGUUAAAUGACCCUAUUUCCCUAAGAAAUGCAAUAAUUAGCACGUAAGGAUGCUUUAGGGGUGAGUCUCCUACAAAAAACUGAAUGGGUCCCGCUAGGUCUCAAUAUGAUGCAGAUAAGCAUGACCUAAAGGCUGACCUACGCUGGAGUCCACUAACAAGGCUGUUCAGGGGAGCGUAUGAUCGAUAGUGGCUGUGAUUACUUUCCACCUACUCCAUACCAGUCGAUGGCUCCCCCUUCUAAAAUAAGGAUGACUCAACUAAAGGUCGUGUUCACAACGUGUACUACAUAACUUAUUGUCGAAAAAAUUGACUCGGGUUAUGCAAAUGAUGUCAGAUAUAAAGCGAUAACACAUAAGAGGAAAAACUGUAAACAUAGAGCAAGGAAGCACGCCACAAUGAUAAAACAAUAACACAAAUAAUACCACACACAAAAUGUCUAUACACAUAUAGUGUCAUACUAAUCUAAUACAACUCAAAAAUUAGCUCGAAUUCUGUAAAGUUUCCCAGCAGAGUCGACAGAGCUGUCACUCCCUUUUUUUAACCAAAAAAAAAUUAAAUUUUUGUUUUAAGUUUAAAAGGAUUUUUAUUAUUAAGUGACAAAAUGAAGAUUUGUUUCGAAAAAGAAUUUUUAUAUUCAAAAGUCAGAGUUGUCACUUGACAAAAAUCACUUGUGCAAGUCACCUUUGAAAAUCACUUUUCAAAAUGAUUUGACUCUAAAACUAAACCGCGACUAGAGAUUUCGGUUAAUGAAUUCGGUUGAUCGAGGGGAAGGUGUUAGGAACCCCUCGAUCCCGUGGUUCAACCAUGGUCGUUUCUUAGAGUAUAUCGGCUAGUACGACAUUAUGAAUGUAUAAACCACAAAACACAUAAAACAAACAAACGAAAAUCCAAAAGUUAAUGUCCAGUCCAAUUAUUACAAACCCAAAAAUGAAAAUACCGAAAUAUAAACUUACACUAAACUAAUUCUUGACCAAUGCUCUAUCCGACGCCUCGGGCCUUCAUCGCGAACGUCCUCCUGGUACAAGAUACCUCGGGGCAUUUCCCAAUGAAUAAAUAUAUACACGUGACCUCGGGGUAUUCUCGACGAAUAAAUACAUUUGAUAAAAACGCGAAUACAUAGGAAACCAUUUCAAACAAGCAUUCACACAUUCGUUAACAUAGAAUCCUAAGGCUUGCCUACCCCCAAAACCUAUAAUUUGCCAAUCGAUUUAAUUUAUCAUGAUCUUAUCAUGUUUCACAUCAAUAAUAAACCAAAAUUAAUCCGAAUUCAUUUUUAUCAAAACCAAUCCCUCCCCGAAUUCAUUCUAAGAAAUAACUAACUAAUUCUUUAACUACCAAUCCAAGUUUCACAUCCAAAUCCAACAUCAACCAACACAUAACAAAGAUUCAAACAUACCAAAUAAUAAAUAAUUCAUAAUUACAUAAAAAUUAAAGAGAGAGAAGAUAUAAUUGGACCUCAGAUGCUUUUUCAAUGAGAAAUAAUCCUUUCGACUUGAAUCGUGAUCGGAAUCUCAAAUCGAACCACAAACUACCAACUCAAUAUGCCCUCUUAUUCCAUUUUUGUCGACCCGAAUCAAAUAGCAAUGACCCAUCCGAGUUCAACUCAAUUUAUUGACGAGAAUUAAUGAGCAACGUUAACCUGAACCUAUCUCGGAUCACCGUCAAGAGGUUCGUGUACUUUCGGAUGGAUUUUGGUCACCGGUUUGAUUUUCUCUGAUGGAAUUGCUUUGAUUAGUUUCAGAUGAUGGACGACAGGGACGUUUUUCCGGUGGAUUUGGACGAAAGAGAUCGAUGAUUCUGGCGAACUAUUUGCCGAACAAGCUAACUUGAGCUGUUGUUUUUGUCCUCUAUUUUACCUCUUUGUUUUUCACUCUUUUUCUUCCAUCUCCCUCUUUUAAGUUUUCAUUGUUCAAUCUCUCCCUGUCUUCUCUGUUUUCUUUUUUUCCCUCAUUAUUUUUCUUCCUCUCAGCUGUGGAUCCUGUGAGUAUUGUGUAUAAGUGAGGUGGUGUAUAUAUUGUGAGAAAACCAUGGGGUAGGGGGUAUGUGGGGUAGGGGUAGGGGUAUAGGGUAUGAGGGUGGUGAUAUGAUGUGUCCAAAUUUUAUUAGGGGGUGGUUAAUUUUGUUAUCAAAAGAAUAUUAGGGUUUGGGUUUGUUAUUUUUAUUUUUUAAUGGAGAAAUUAUCACAUGAUUGAGGGUUGGUAGGUUAAGGUAAAUAGAUGAAAAUACACUCUCAGAUGGAAUAAAAUUACGCUUCUAUAGAGAACAGUGCAAAUACUGGAUGUAAUUUUUUUUGAUCAAAAUGUAGUCAUUGACAUUAAGAACCAUGGCCAGCUAUUAUGAAAAGAAAGUGAACCAAAUGCUUCAGGCCUCCAAGUUUUUGGGGCCCCCAUUUUCUACUAAUUGUAUGUGUACAUGUUAUUUAUUUUUAAAAAAAUAUAGUGUAAAACCUGCAAAUAAUUACUCCUUUCAUUCAAAAUACAUGCUAUAUUUCACUUUUUGAAAGUUAAUUUGAAUAAUUUUUGAAGCUAAAUUAGAUUAAAUUAAUUUAACAUAUCAAAAUUAAACAUCAGAUAUUCAUAAAUUACACAAAAAGCUCUAUAAGUUGCAAUUUUUAAGGUGUAUACAAUUUGACAAUCUAAAAUGGAGCAUGACAAGUACUUUGAUAUAAAAUACGUAUAAUAAAAAAGAAGACUUAUGAACUUAUGAAUGGUCGUAUCAUUGCACUUUUUUUUUUAGAUAAUAUGAAUUACUCUUUUAGAUCCUUACGUUCUUUGAAUAUAACUCUUUAUGGAUCAUUUACAUUUGAUAAUUGGAAUAAAUGAAACAAAUUAUGCCUUCUCAUUUUCUCUUUUAUCUAAGUAAGCAACGACUUUGCAUAUAUACAUAGAAGGGGGGGGGGUGCGAUAAGUUUUAUUAUUUAUUUAUUUUUAAUUUAAGGCCUCAUACUAAAGUUCGGCUUUAGGCCGCCAAAUUUACUGAGCCGAUCCUGUUUAGAACUUUGCUAAAUGUUGCUUUUUCCAACAUCAACUUGUAUGAACUUACAUUGAAGUUCAAUCAUACUUUCUGCAUUUCAAUUAUUUGUUUUACUUUCUUUUUUAGUCUAUUUAAAAAUACAUGCUUCUUUAAUUUUUUAGGAAUGAUGUUGAAUGUAAUGAUCAUUUAAGCAGUGCGUAGUCAGACAUUUUGUAGAUAAGUAAACACCAAGUAUCCGAUCGAAAUUGUAGUAAGCAAUGACACUCUUCGUAUUGGAUUUUCUCAUCAUUCAAAUCCUAGAUUGGGAGAAACAACUUCUUUACUUUUUGCUUUCUUCCCUUAGAGACUCUGUUCAAUCCGUCAACUUAACUUUAUAGUUUAGACACUGAUGCAUUUACCUCCUCUAUUCCAUAAAGUGUGAUGUUUUUUCUUUCAGUGUUUGAUUGUGACUCGAUUUUGUUUAUAUUCUUUUUCUAAAUGAUAGGACUUCUAACUAAUUAACAUAUUUCUUUAUUCACUGUAAAUAGCGUAUGGUGAUCAUAAAGAAGUUGUUGGAGAAGAAGGAAAAAAGCUUGAAGACUAAAGUUACAGAAAUAAUAACAAGGAAUUGAAGAGAGUGGAGGAGCUAGCUAUUCUUAAGGAUAUCAUGCCUAAGGAAUAGUAUCAAAAGUUAUGGCAUCAUAGAAUGUAUAAACCACAAAACACAUAAAACAAACAAACGAAAAUCCAAAAGUUAAUGUCCAGUCCAAUUAUUACAAACCCAAAAAUGAAAAUACCGAAAUAUAAACUUACACUAAACUAAUUCUUGACCAAUGCUCUAUCCGACGCCUCGGGCCUUCAUCGCGAACGUCCUCCUGGUACAAGAUACCUCGGGGCAUUUCCCAAUGAAUAAAUAUAUACACGUGACCUCGGGGUAUUCUCGACGAAUAAAUACAUUUGAUAAAAACGCGAAUACAUAGGAAACCAUUUCAAACAAGCAUUCACACAUUCGUUAACAUAGAAUCCUAAGGCUUGCCUACCCCCAAAACCUAUAAUUUGCCAAUCGAUUUAAUUUAUCAUGAUCUUAUCAUGUUUCACAUCAAUAAUAAACCAAAAUUAAUCCGAAUUCAUUUUUAUCAAAACCAAUCCCUCCCCGAAUUCAUUCUAAGAAAUAACUAACUAAUUCUUUAACUACCAAUCCAAGUUUCACAUCCAAAUCCAACAUCAACCAACACAUAACAAAGAUUCAAACAUACCAAAUAAUAAAUAAUUCAUAAUUACAUAAAAAUUAAAGAGAGAGAAGAUAUAAUUGGACCUCAGAUGCUUUUUCAAUGAGAAAUAAUCCUUUCGACUUGAAUCGUGAUCGGAAUCUCAAAUCGAACCACAAACUACCAACUCAAUAUGCCCUCUUAUUCCAUUUUUGUCGACCCGAAUCAAAUAGCAAUGACCCAUCCGAGUUCAACUCAAUUUAUUGACGAGAAUUAAUGAGCAACGUUAACCUGAACCUAUCUCGGAUCACCGUCAAGAGGUUCGUGUACUUUCGGAUGGAUUUUGGUCACCGGUUUGAUUUUCUCUGAUGGAAUUGCUUUGAUUAGUUUCAGAUGAUGGACGACAGGGACGUUUUUCCGGUGGAUUUGGACGAAAGAGAUCGAUGAUUCUGGCGAACUAUUUGCCGAAAAAUCUAACUUAAGCUGUUGUUUUUGUCCUCUAUUUUACCUCUUUGUUUUUCACUCUUUUUCUUCCAUCUCCCUCUUUUAAGUUUUCAUUGUUCAAUCUCUCCCUGUCUUCUCUGUUUUCUUUUUUUCCCUCAUUAUUUUUCUUCCUCUCAGCUGUGGAUCCUGUGAGUAUUGUGUAUAAGUGAGGUGGUGUAUAUAUUGUGAGAAAACCAUGGGGUAGGGGGUAUGUGGGGUAGGGGUAGGGGUAUAGGGUAUGAGGGUGGUGAUAUGAUGUGUCCAAAUUUUAUUAGGGGGUGGUUAAUUUUGUUAUCAAAAGAAUAUUAGGGUUUGGGUUUGUUAUUUUUAUUUUUUAAUGGAGAAAUUAUCACAUGAUUGAGGGUUGGUAGGUUAAGGUAAAUAGAUGAAAAUACACUCUCAGAUGGAAUAAAAUUACGCUUCUAUAGAGAACAGUGCAAAUACUGGAUGUAAUUUUUUUUGAUCAAAAUGUAGUCAUUGACAUUAAGAACCAUGGCCAGCUAUUAUGAAAAGAAAGUGAACCAAAUGCUUCAGGCCUCCAAGUUUUUGGGGCCCCCAUUUUCUACUAAUUGUAUGUGUACAUGUUAUUUAUUUUUAAAAAAAUAUAGUGUAAAACCUGCAAAUAAUUACUCCUUUCAUUCAAAAUACAUGCUAUAUUUCACUUUUUGAAAGUUAAUUUGAAUAAUUUUUGAAGCUAAAUUAGAUUAAAUUAAUUUAACAUAUCAAAAUUAAACAUCAGAUAUUCAUAAAUUACACAAAAAGCUCUAUAAGUUGCAAUUUUUAAGGUGUAUACAAUUUGACAAUCUAAAAUGGAGCAUGACAAGUACUUUGAUAUAAAAUACGUAUAAUAAAAAAGAAGACUUAUGAACUUAUGAAUGGUCGUAUCAUUGCACUUUUUUUUUUAGAUAAUAUGAAUUACUCUUUUAGAUCCUUACGUUCUUUGAAUAUAACUCUUUAUGGAUCAUUUACAUUUGAUAAUUGGAAUAAAUGAAACAAAUUAUGCCUUCUCAUUUUCUCUUUUAUCUAAGUAAGCAACGACUUUGCAUAUAUACAUAGAAGGGGGGGGGGUGCGAUAAGUUUUAUUAUUUAUUUAUUUUUAAUUUAAGGCCUCAUACUAAAGUUCGGCUUUAGGCCGCCAAAUUUACUGAGCCGAUCCUGUUUAGAACUUUGCUAAAUGUUGCUUUUUCCAACAUCAACUUGUAUGAACUUACAUUGAAGUUCAAUCAUACUUUCUGCAUUUCAAUUAUUUGUUUUACUUUCUUUUUUAGUCUAUUUAAAAAUACAUGCUUCUUUAAUUUUUUAGGAAUGAUGUUGAAUGUAAUGAUCAUUUAAGCAGUGCGUAGUCAGACAUUUUGUAGAUAAGUAAACACCAAGUAUCCGAUCGAAAUUGUAGUAAGCAAUGACACUCUUCGUAUUGGAUUUUCUCAUCAUUCAAAUCCUAGAUUGGGAGAAACAACUUCUUUACUUUUUGCUUUCUUCCCUUAGAGACUCUGUUCAAUCCGUCAACUUAACUUUAUAGUUUAGACACUGAUGCAUUUACCUCCUCUAUUCCAUAAAGUGUGAUGUUUUUUCUUUCAGUGUUUGAUUGUGACUCGAUUUUGUUUAUAUUCUUUUUCUAAAUGAUAGGACUUCUAACUAAUUAACAUAUUUCUUUAUUCACUGUAAAUAGCGUAUGGUGAUCAUAAAGAAGUUGUUGGAGAAGAAGGAAAAAAGCUUGAAGACUAAAGUUACAGAAAUAAUAACAAGGAAUUGAAGAGAGUGGAGGAGCUAGCUAUUCUUAAGGAUAUCAUGCCUAAGGAAUAGUAUCAAAAGUUAUGGCAUCAUAGAGAUUUAUUUAAAUAAUAUUAGUGAAAUAAAUUUCAACGGAAUGAUACAAAUAACGUGGAAUCAUAUAAUUGAUCCAAACUUGCCUAUAUUUGUGGUCUAAUUAUGUUGAAUGCAAAAGCAUGGUAAAUACAAAAUUUUGUAUACAACAAAAAUUUAUUUAUGGUAAAUUACCUAAUUACUCUUUUUAUCAAUUUAAAUACCUACUUAUUAAAUUUUAAGAAAACUAAAUUCUACCAAGAGAAGAAAAGUUAAAUUUGACGUUUAAAUUGCUUUUUUUUUUUUUAAGAGUCAUAAUGGUUGUUUUUCGCGGGAGUGAAGCAAGAGACAAAGUGAUUGUAGCUUUUUUCUUGACUUAUUUAAAUAAAAGGAACUACUGUCACACCCCUUUUUCGCCCGAAGGGAUCGAGUCGAAGGGUUUUUCCAAUUGAAGUGACGAUAUUGAAUAGAGAUUAAUUUAAUUACAGAGUCGCCACUUGGAAUUGAGUUAUGGUGUUUCAAGUCACCUUUAUAAAUCCCUAAUCAAAAGGAAAUGACUCUUUAUUAUGGUCUGCGAAAACAGAAGACCUGGUAAGGAAUUCUAUUGACCGAGGGGAAGGUGUGAGGUACCCCUCGAGUCCCGUGGUUCUAGCACAGUCGCUUUUAUUGACUUAUCUUAUCUUAAAUUAUUUUAGUAAGUUAUGUUAUGGCCUAAAAUCGCUUAUUUUUAUGAUGGCAAAACUGUCUAUAUAUUUUUUAUUAAAUCGAUGAAAGUUAAUUUUAGAAAAAUAUUUGUCAGCAUUAUUGCAUCCUUGAAAUUUUAAAUGUCUUGAAAAGAUGCGUACGCCGCAUUCUUAAUUGAGACGAAUAUAUUUAAACGUGCCUAAAACUUUCCCAGCCUUAAAAGACAUUCAUUCGUUUCUUAUAAACUUGAGGUAAUUUUCCUAUUCAUAUAAUUGUUCUUUUCGCUCCCCCCCCUUUUUUGAAAAUAAAUAAAUAAAUAAAUCAACUAAUGCUUAAUUUUGGUAGAGGCUUCGAUUUCUAUGUAAUAGAGACAUAAGGAUUAAAUAAAGAGAAUCAAUUCUUAAUUCACCAUCUAAUCCAAAAUGAAUUUAUACACAAUGAGAUUAAUAAACAAUCAAUUUUAUUUAAUACAUGAAAUAUCUUUAACAUUCAAAAUCGUGAUAAAUGGUAAAAAGAAAUUUAUAAAAAAAAGAUAAAUUAAUUGGUACUAAUAAGCAUGAAUAAAACUUGUUGAAGACUACUCUUUUGAAUUUCCAACUCAAUUAUUUCUUUUUAACACAAUCAAAAAGGAGAAAUUCGAUCAUUAAUCAAACCCAAAAUUUCUAAUUUUUUCAACCAUCCCUUUUAAUCUCAUUUUCCAUUUUUUUUCUGUUGUCAGUGUGCGUAUGUUUUGUGACAAAGUAUUGUGUCUAUCAUUCUGCUGUGUAUGAAUGCAUAACAUAUAUAUGGUAGAGUACUGCAUGAGCAUGUGUUAUUUUUUAAAGUCUAUUUUUUUUUUGCAUGCAUGCAUGGAUACUUUGUUAAGUAUGAUUUAUGACACAACUACAUACAUUAAUUGCAUAUCAACUUUACAUCUUUUUAACAUUAAUAGUUUUUAAAAAUUAUCUCAUUAAAAUUCAAAUUGAUCUAAUUUUCAUUAUUUUACAAAGUAGAACACGAGUUACAGAUCAAGAUGUAGACACAAAUUACAUACAAAUAAUAAACUACACAUAAUAAAUAAUAUAAAAAGCCAUGAAAAUAACUUUAUUCAUGCUUCAAUUCACAAAGAAUAUCGUAAAAUAAACAGUACGAAUUGGAUAAGAACCUGUGUGAUGAAUUAAACCAAGCAAAACGUCGUUACCGAAAACUUUAAACGGAAUUUCAAACUUAAACUCUAACUUUUCUCUCCUUUAUCUAACACUUUUUUUUUAUUUGGGUCUUCUCCUUUUCCUUCUCACUGUUCUCGUCUCUAUUCACUUUGAUUUUUUUUUUUUCAGUUUUUUUUUUUCAGCCUUUUUUUUUUUUUUUUUUUUUCCCUGCUGUUUUUUUUUUUUGGUUUUUCCGUCCCCUCUCCCUAAGUAUAGUAUUGUGUGUAAUAUAUAAGGUGUAGGGGUUGAGAAGUUGAGGGAGUUGGAGGAAAAUUAGGAGGUGGUUAGGGUAGGUUAGGAUAGGAUAGAUUUUUUUUUUUAAAAGAUAAUAAUAAUAACAAAAAAUAAUAAAAAGUACUAAAAUUACUAACUUAUUUCUUUUAAAAGAAACAUAUUUUAUUUUUUAUUUUUGUAGUAUUUUUUUUUAAAUUGGAAUAAAAAUAAAAUAAUAUCUUAAAAUUAACUUCAUUUAGAUAUUUACCUUUUAACUAAAAGUUUAUUAAAAUAAAAUAAGAAUUUAAAUAAUAUUAUAUCAAAUAUAAAUAUUUAAUAUUAAAAAAUGUAUAUAUUAAACUCGGGAGGGUCAAAAUCACGUGUCUACAUUUGCCCCUCUUUGUUUGAAAUGUCGAAGAGUUUUCAUACAAAGAAGUAGACAAAUAGAUGACUUUUGACACUCUGAAUAUUCUAAAAGUAAAGAUAAAAUAAAAUAAAAUAAAAGAUGUGACCGAGUCCUGGUUUUGGACCACCUAUAUAUCUCGGGUUUUAAGGGAAUCAGGUCACAUGUAGUUCAAAGGUAAAAAGUGAGAGAAAAAGAUAAAGGUCAAGUGAGAUUCCGUCGAAUUUUCGGUUAACAACUUUUGUCUUUUACAUUCAAAUGACUAUAAAAAAUAAGAUGAAAUGAAAAUUGCAAUAUCAGGAAUCUUGAUUCAAAUCUUCAUGUCUUGAACUUGAAAAUUCACCCUAUUCUUCGGCGGGCUCCUGACUUUCAAUUUCUUCACCCUAUUCUUUAGGCAGACUCCUGGACUUCUAAUUUCUUCACCUUGUUCUUCAGGCGGGCUCCUGGACUUGUAAUUUCUUCACCCUAUUCUUCAUGCGGGCUCCUGAACUUUCUCUUUCUUCACCCUGUUAUUCAGGCGGGCUCCUAGACUUUCUUUUUCUUCACCCUGUUCUUCAGGAGGAUUCCUGGACUUCGUUUUUUUCUGAGUUUUCAAAUAUGUUCCUGAACUCAAAAUAAAAAGUGAAACAGAAAAAUAACAUCCCAUUCUUCAGGAAGGUCCUGGACAUUAAAUAAAUUCCCAUUCUUCAGAAGGGUCCUGAGCAAAAACUAAAUUCCUAUUCUUCAGGAGGGUCUUGUGCAAAAAUAAAUUCCUAUUCUUCAGGAGGGUCCUGUCCUAUUCUUCAAGAAGGUCCUGAGCAUAAAAUAAAUUCCCCAUUCUUCAGGAGGGUCCUGUCCCAUUCUUCAGGAGGGUCCUAAGCAUAAAAUAAAUUCCCAUUCUUCAGGAGGGUCCGAUCCCAUUCUUUUGGAGGGUCCUGGGCAUAAAUAAAUUCCUCAUUCUUCAGGAGGGUCCUGAGCAAAAAGUAAAUUCCCAUUCUUCAGGAGGGUCAUGAGCAUAAAAUAAAUUCCUCAUUCUUUAGGAGGGUCCUGUCCCAUUCUUCAGGAGGGUCCUGAUCAUAAAAUAAAUUCCUAUCUUCAGGAGGGUCCUAUCUCAUUCUUCAGGAGGGUCCUGAGCAUAAAAUGAAUUUCUGUUCUUCAGGAGGGUCCUGUCCCAUUCUUCAGGAGGGUCCUGUGCAUAAAAUAAAUUCUAGUAAACACGAACAAAAUUUUGUUCCAGUUUGCACUAGUAAAUUUUGUGAGUGUCAUCAGAUCAAACCUUUUGAAAAGUACAGUAAAGAGUGUGAAUCAAAGCUCUGCUAAAGAAAUGCGUCUCAUCAGAGUAAAACUGAUGACCAAAAUUAGGAAGUGUGUCUCCUAAGAGUUAAAUUGAAGGACUCGACUGGAAAGUGCAUCUUCUAAGAGUGAAUGUUCAAGUUAGGAAGUGCUUCACCUAGCAAAUAAAAACUAACUUAUUCAGACUAGGAAGUGCGUCUUCUAGGGGUUAAAUGAAAUGACUCGACUAGAAAGUGCGUCUUCUAGGAGUGAAGGUUCAAGUUAGAAAGUGCUUCACCUAACAAAUAAAAACUAACUUACUCAGACUAAGGAGUGCAUCUACUAAGAGUUGAAUGAAAUGACUCAACUAGAAAGUGCGUCUUCUAGGAGUGAAGGUUCAAGUUAGAAAGUGCUUCACCUAACAAAUAAAAACUAACUUACUCAGACUAAGGAGUGCAUCUACUAAGAGUUGAAUGAAAUGACUCAACUAGAAAGUGCGUCUUCUAGGAGUGAAGGUUCAAGUUAGAAAGUGCUUCACCUAACAAAUAAAAACUAACUUACUCAGACUAAGGAGUGCAUCUACUAAGAGUUGAAUGAAAUGACUCAACUAGAAAGUGCGUCUUCUAGGAGUGAUGGUUCAAGUUAGGAAGUGCAUCACCUAACAAAUGAAACUAGACAUACUCUACCUAGGAAGUGCGUCUCCUAAGGGUUAAUUGAAAUAACUCAACUAGAAAGUGCAUCUUCUAGAAGUUAAAGCUCAAGUUAGGAAGUGCAUCAGCUAACAAAUGAAUAAUAACUUACCUAAACAAGAAAGUGCAUCUCCUAGGGGUAUAGGAUGAUGAGUUUUCACUAUGAUUGUGAUUACUAAAUAUGUGUAAAAAUAUUGCCUCUUGCAUUUGCAAAAGUGAGAAAUUUCAUCUUGUUGAUAUCUAAACUUUAAAGCAUUUGAAUUGAGGGCAAAUUUCUCUCUAUUUCAAACAAAGACCAAUUAUAAUUUUAAAACGUGGUGGUUGAUUUGUGGCAUAUGGCUAUUGAGGUGACUACUCUUGCAUGGUCAUACUCAGCUCAAUUUCAAUCAUUGAUAAGUAUCGUUGACUUGUUGUAGUAUUGACCCCAAUUUCUGACUACCAAAACCAUUUGUCUCAAAUCUUAUUUCUCUUGCAUGAUGCCUCUAGGUUUAACUUCAAAUAUAUCCCUUAUAUUUCCAUGAGUCCAAAAACUGUCGGGUAACAAGCAUUCUUAAAUACUUUGCUUUAUUUUUGAAACAUGUCAUCUUUGUGUGUCGACCCUUUGUCUUGCUUUGCACAACUGAAGUAGUUGGUAUCAAGUCUUGAAGUUUUUUCUCACUUAUUUUGACAUAAAUUUGACUCAAAAUACGUGAAAGAUGACGAUAUUGAUUUUUCAUUUGACGACAGAUACACAAAAUAGAAAAAAUAAUAAUAACAAAAAGAAAAGAAAAAGAUAAUAGAGAUCCUUUUUUUUUUCAAAAAAUGAAAGAAAGAAAAACUUCUCUACCCAAACUAUGACAUGCAUUUUGAAUUAAACAACCUGAUCUAGCCAAACUAAUCACUAUCACUUUUUGCCCACUUAUUGAAUUUGAAAAGGAGUCAUUCUUGAACUUGUUCCUUCUAGAUUACAAUCCUCCUUAGGCUAGUGACAUGACCUCGAUGGGUUUUCGACAACAAGUCGCUCCCAUUUUCUUUUCUUUUUCAACUCAGUGUCGUCUUAUGGUGCCCAUGAAGACUUUACCAAUAAGACUCUCAUUUUUAUUGAUCUCACAACUCACGGUCGCCUUAUGAUGCUCAAAAGAGUUUUCACCAAUAAGACUCUCUCAUUUUUAUUUUUUUUUAGAAAAUAACACUCAAAAUAUGUAGUAUCAUACACCCAUAACAUGCUUAGCCUUGACAUUUUCAAAGAUUGAUUUGAAGGUCUUUCUUUGGUUGUAACUUGACUUUUGGAAUAGGAUAGAAAGAAAGGUCGGCAUGGGGCUCAAAAUUGACACAAUGUUGGGUAAAAUAUACAACUUUUGGAAUCGACUCUUUUAAAAAAAUAAACUUUUGCCCCAGUUUUAUUUCAUUUUGGGUAACUUAAAUUUUCUUUUGGUUGGACCGAACCCCAGAGUAGGGCUACCUACGUAUCUUGUCAUAGCAAGAUUCGGGUCAAAUGUAGUUCAGGAAAGUCAUUCUCUAGUUGUUUUUUUUAAUGAACCUGGGAUCUCAUUUUUCUUUUCUUUGAUUCUUCUCUUUUUGAGAUUUCUUUUUUCACGUCCACUUUUUUUUUAACAUUUUUUUUCUGAUUACAUUUUCUUCUUGAUAUUUUUUCUGAUUUCAUUUUUUCUUGACAUUUUUCUAACUCCAUUUUUCUUGACACUCUCUUUUUUAUUUUUCAAACUCUAUUUUGAUUCUAAAAGAGGGGUACAAAAUAAAAUAAAAUUAAAGCUCAAAAGGGGUAACAAAGGAUGACACAACAUUUGGAUAGCAGAAUGAAAUGUCUUCGUCAUAUCAAUCUUUAAAAAUACAAGCACUUAACAUGAAAUCUGUGAGUGAACAUAAAGAUCAUGUAUAUUUUUUUUCAAUAUUGACCUUGACUGAAUACGUAUGUCACUAUUUCUCAUGCACUUGUCAAACAGAAAGGUCCAAUUGUAUUCACAUUUCUCUCAUUAAAGGACUCGUGCAUUUUUAAGCUUCCUGACAAUGGAUACUAUAUAUCUUCUAAUCGCUUUCAUCUAAAGUGUUUGAGAUUGACCUUCUAAUUGAUGACCAAGUCAUUUUUGAUUCACAAAGUGAUUGUUUCAAUCCAUUCAAGUGAGGCUUUAACUCACUCAACAAACAUCUCAACAUUUUACUUAUUUCCUUACAUGAUUUUUCCUUUCAACUCUAUCUUCCUAAUCAAAUGUUUCAGGAUUAGAUUAGGUUUUAAGAUAUGAUGAAAAUUCAUCAUGCAUAUUGUAUCAUUAGAAUCACCAUAAAAGAAUUGUAUGAAGAAAAAGAAUGACAAAUAAACAAUAUUUAUUAAAAAAAAAAUAGAAAUAAAGGGACGCACAUUUUGUUGACAGAAAUACAAAAGGGUUUGAACAAAGACGAUAAGAACUAAGAUAAGAUAAAUCCCAAACUACAACCCUAAAAUAAUUCGGAUAGCAAAAAGAAAAAUAAAACAGACUACCAAAAAUUCCUUAUCGUGAGGAGUGAAGAUUGACUUCUAAAUUGCCGAGCUUAAUAUUUUAGCCAUUGAUUUGCACGUUGACCUUAAUGGAGUCUCCACCCUCAUUGCGACAUCAUCUAUUUUUUUCCAACCAUUCUGAAGUUAUCACCAUUAAAGUCUCUUCAAAGUAAAUCGUCAGCAGUUUCUCUUUUUCCUUACUUCUCACAAUUGAUUUCAAAACCUUUUUAGAUAAGUCAAAGGAUGACCAUGACCCUUGUACAUGUCCAACUUUGGUGUUUUAGAGGUUAGAGGCAAGUAAACAUUGAAACAUGUAAAAAUUCUUGUGAGAAUUCUCUUUCUCUCCCUCUCUCUUAAUAUUUGCAUGUUUCUCAUAUUUUACUCCAAAUUUCUCACUUUUCAAGCCAUUUCUUCUUACUCCUCAUUUCUAACAGUCUACACCAAUUCUUCUCAGACCCUAUAUCAUUUUUUUGUGGGUCAUCUUCCUUAUUCUUUGAAUAUGGUAUUGUAUUGGUGAGAUGCCAACUUAGCUACAAACCAACGACCUUAACACUAUUUUGAUUUUGGAGAAAAUUAAUGUGUCAGAGUUCAAAAUUUUUUUUUAAGACCACUGAAUCCAUGAAGGACUGCCUGCGUAUCUCUUUAAGAUGAGAAUCAGGUGUGCGUAGUUCUUGAAAUAUAUGUCGUACAAAAUUCAGCCUCAAGACCCCUAAAGGUUCAGAGCUAUUAUAUAUAUAUAUAUAUAUAUAUUGUAAAAACUUAGCCUCAUUAUCCCUAAAGAUUCAGGGCUGUUAAAAUUUAUAAGUUUUUAUUUAUUUUGUAAAAACUUAGCCUCAUGAUCCCUAAAGAUUUCUGGCUAUUGCAAUAUAUUUUUAUUUUAUUAUUAUUUUUUUUGGUAAAACCUUAGCCUCAUGAUCCCUAAAGAUUCAGGGCUAUUAAGAUAUAUAUAAAAAUUGGACUUGAGAAUUAGAAAAAUAAUUAUGAAAGUAAUCAUAUUUUAAAAAUAUUUCUCAAUAAAUCUAUGAAUAAAUUUUUAAAUUACAGGGUCGUAUCCUGGGAAGGACUUCCUAUGUAUCUCACUAAGAUGUGAGAAUCAGACCCUCGUAGUUCAUAAAGAAGCUAUUAUAUAUAUAUAUAUAUAUAUAUUGUAAAAACUUAGCCUCAUUAUCCCUAAAGAUUCAGGGCUGUUAAAAUUUAUAAGUUUUUAUUUAUUUUGUAAAAACUUAGCCUCAUGAUCCCUAAAGAUUUCUGGCUAUUGCAAUAUAUUUUUAUUUUAUUAUUAUUUUUUUUGGUAAAACCUUAGCCUCAUGAUCCCUAAAGAUUCAGGGCUAUUAAGAUAUAUAUAAAAAUUGGACUUGAGAAUUAGAAAAAUAAUUAUGAAAGUAAUCAUAUUUUAAAAAUAUUUCUCAAUAAAUCUAUGAAUAAAUUUUUAAAUUACAGGGUCGUAUCCUGGGAAGGACUUCCUAUGUAUCUCACUAAGAUGUGAGAAUCAGACCCUCGUAGUUCAUAAAGAUUGUAAAAACUAUGUUGUUGUAUAUUUAAAAGUUUUCUUUAUUUUUUUUUUCAAAAAUAAAAUUUUUCUUUCAAAAAUGAUUAACUAAAUUUGUGGAUAAAUUAAUCUCUCGCAUUUUAAAAUUGCCUAAAGUCGGUCAACAAAUAAAUAGCCUUCCAAGUAAAUGUCAAAGAGCACAUAGGAUGCACAUGUUGGUCUUUAUAAAUUAGGUCACCUCUCCUAGACAGAUCCGGCCCUUGUGCCGAGUCCCGCUAAGUCAAAUGCAUAUGAUCCAAAUAAAGCGGCACUUAAUAAGGAUAAACAGAUUCUGAGUUUUCAGUUCUUCUAAGUUAAAACCUAAUAGGGAUAGGUGUCUAGACUGGUUUACUAGAGCAGACACUCGAGCCGGGGAGGGACAACUUGGUCGGUAGCAGGGCAACACCGCCGUCGUUGCCGAUCCGAACCCCGCCUAACAUGUGUGACUAUAUCCUUCACCAGGUGCUUUGACACUCCGAUUAUCUCAAAAAGAAGGUGGGAUGCAUAUGUUGCAUUCCCUCUAUCCUAUUUUAGAGACUCAGAGGGGGUACGCGAGAGAAGACAAUAUAUAAUACAUUUCAAAUAUUAUCAAAGCAGUAAGUGAGCAACAAGUAGCACAUAAGGCUGACAAAUACAAUAUCAACAAUAAUUAAAGCAAGUAUAAGUCAAUUAUGUAAAGCUCGAAUUCUUGUUAUUUCCCCAGCAGAGUCUCCAGAGAUGUCACACCUCUUUUUUGCCCGAAGGGAUCGAGUUGAAGGGUUUUUCCAGUUAAAGUGACGAUAUUGAAUAGGGAUUAAUUUAAUUACAGAGUCGCCACUUGAAAUUGAGUUAAUCUCAUUUUCCAUUUUUUUUUCCUGUUGUUAGUGUGUGUAUGUUUUGUGAAAAAGUAUUGUGUCUAUCAUUCUGCUGUGUAUGCAUGCAUAACAUAUAUAUGAUAGAGUACUGCAUGAGCAUGUGUGUGUUAUUUUUUAAAGUCUAUUUUUUUUUUUUUGCAUGCAUGAAUGCUUUGUGAAGUAUGAUUUAUGACACAACUAUAUACAUUAAUUGCAUAUCAACUUUACAAUCUUUUUAACAUUAAUAAUUUUUAAAAAUUAUCUCAUUAAAAUUCAAAUUGAUCUAAUUUUCAUUAUUUUAUAAAGUAGAACACGAGUUAUAGAUCAAGAAGUAGACACAAAUUACAUAUAAAUAAUAAACUACACAUAAUAAAUAAUAUAAAAAGUCAUGAAAAUAACUUUAUUCAUGCUUCAAUUCACAAAGAAUAUCGUAAAAUAAACAGUAUAAAUUCGAUAAGAACCAGUGUGAUGAAUUAAACCAAGCAAAACGUCGUUACCGAAAACUUUAAACGGAAUUUCAAACUUAAACUCUAACUUUUCUCUCCUUUAUCUAAUAUUUUUUUAUUUGGGUCUUCUCCUUUUUCUUCUCCCUGUUCUCGUCUCUAUUCACUUUUUUUUUUCUAAGUAUUGUAUUGUGUGUAAUAUAUAGGGUGUAGGGGGUUGAAAAGUUGAGGGAGUUGGGGGAAACUUAGGGGGUGGCUGGGGUAGGUUAGGAUAAGAUAAAAUUUAAAUUUUAAAAAAAGAUAAUAAUAAUAACAAAAAAUAAUAAAUAAACAAAAUAAUAAUAAUAAAAUAAUAAAAAAUAAUAAUAAUAAUAUAAUAAUAAAUAAUUAAUUUUUAUAUUUAAGAAAAUACAAUAAAAGUUUAAAAAUAGCAAAAAGUAAAUAUAAUUAAGAUAGUACUAAAACUACUAACUUAUUUCUUUUAAAAGAAACAUAUUUUAUUUUAUUUUUUUGUAUUUAUUUUUUUUAAUUGGAAUAAAAAUAAAAUAAUAUCCUAAAAUUAACUUCAUUUAGAUAUUUACCUUUUAACUAAAAAUUUAUUAAAAUAAAAUAAGAAUUUAAAUAAUAUUAUAUUAAAUAUAAAUAUUUAAUAUUAAAAAAUAUAUAUUUCAAACACGGGAGGGUCAAAAUCAUGUGUCUACAACUACUACUUCGAUUUAAUGGUUGUUAAUGAAUAAAAAGGGAUGGUCUGCUUUGUUAAAUAUUCCUUAUGCAUACAUAAUGAAUAAUUUAAGAGGAAUUCGGAUUUUGAAUGAACCUCAAAAUCCGAGGAGGAUAAAGUGUACUUGAUUAAAGUUAUAACUAUUAGAUUUUAUGUAUUUAUAAGAUGUAACAACUCGAUAAAAAUUAAAGACCACAAAUUUGAAGGACAAAAUUUAAAGCCAGGGGCAACCCCGCGAAUGACACAUAAUCAAUGCAUGUUCCUCUUUUCUUCUUUAAAUUUUUAAUUUUUUUAUGUAGGUUUAUAUUUCUUGAAGUUUAAAUUAGCAUGAUACUAUCAAUUAAAAAAUAAAUUAAGCUAAAAUUAUACUAUCAUAUGUAAAAUUGUUUAAAACUAAUAUUUGAAAUUUAGAGAACCUAAUAUAUCUGCAAUAUUAUAACAACAAUUAAUUUAUUAUUUAUUUUCUAUCAAAAUAUUCUAAAUACCGUUAUUUAAAAUCUCCCAUUGAAAAAAUUCAUCCAAAUUCAAGAUUAAUCUUAAUUUUUAUUUAGUCCAAAAUGUAUGUAGUAUGAAAAAAGAUAAAAACUUGGUUGAUCAAUAAUUGAUCAAACGGUGAACUUUCUUUGAAAUCAACUCGAUAAAUCAAAGUCAAGCUCGAUAUUUUUGGUGAUCAAACACAUCACAUGGAGGUACAAAAUUCCACAUUCUGGAAUCACGAAAAAAUUUGGAACGAAGAACCAAAGAAGAAAAAUAUACUAUAAAAUUGUACUCACAAUCUUGAUAAAUAAAAUCAUUUCAUUUAUUUAUUUUGUAUUUUGCAACUUACAUUUGAUAUAUAUAUAUAUAUAUACUAGAUAUCAGAACCCGUGCUAGCACGGGCCCAAUGUGCUACUUUUCAAAUAUUAUAUUCUAUUUUUUGUCUCAAUUUAUAUGUUGCUAAUGGAAUAUUUGAGAAAGUCAAUCAGAUUUAUUAUAUAUAGUUUUAGAUAUUUUAAGUUGUUAAUUAUAUUAUGAUUUAUACGACUUUCAGCGUAAUUUUCAAGUAAUAUCCUUUUAUCCUAAUUAAUAUGACAUCGAUAACUAUUGUAAUCUAUAAUACUUUUUCGACGUUGUAAUUUACUAUUUUAAGUUGUUUGCUAUUGUAACUUAUAAUACCUUUCUUGUUCAAACUUUGUGGUAUUGAUAGUGAAUUUAGACUUUAAAAGUAAUUUUAAUUUUUAUUAUUGUAAUUUAUAAUAUUUUUUUAUUUCAAUUUAAGCGACACUGAUAUAAUUUCAACAGUAACCAAAUAUCACGAUUGAAAUAGCGAAACUGACACGUCUUGAAUGACUCAUAAUAACUAAUUAAUAGUUAUAUAACAAAAUAGAUAUAAAAAUUCUUGUGAAAAUUUUUUAAGCGAGCCUUACAUAAGAUGUCAAAUUAAUUUAAAACAUCAAGAUUAUCAAUUUUUAAAUACUUAAAUGACUCAUAAUAAUUAAUUAUAGGUGAUAUAGUAAAAUUACAGUUGAAGCAGCUGNNNNNNNNNNNNNNNNNNNNNNNNNNNNNNNNNNNNNNNNNNNNNNNNNNNNNNNNNNNNNNNNNNNNNNNNNNNNNNNNNNNNNNNNNNNNNNNNNNNNNNNNNNNNNNNNNNNNNNNNNNNNNNNNNNNNNNNNNNNNNNNNNNNNNNNNNNNNNNNNNNNNNNNNNNNNNNNNNNNNNNNNNNNNNNNNNNNNNNNNNNNNNNNNNNNNNNNNNNNNNNNNNNNNNNNNNNNNNNNNNNNNNNNNNNNNNNNNNNNNNNNNNNNNNNNNNNNNNNNNNNNNNNNNNNNNNNNNNNNNNNUAUAUAUAUAUAUUUCAUUACUUUACUACUAUUAUAUAUAAGAGAGAAUGUGAAAUUUUGAUAGUUCUCACAUCAUUUUUUUUUGUCAGUUUUAUUUCUAAUUUAAAUUUUAAUUACUCUACCAAUUUUUAUCCAUUUUGGUAAAUUUGAACAAUUAUAUGAGUUUAUUAAUGCAACCAAAGUGAUGAGUAAUUAUAGUGAUACUAUAAAAACUAUUUAUACAAUGAAAUUCAAAAUUUAUCCAAGGGUUGUAUGAAAUGUUUAUUAAUCUUACUUCAAAUUUUUAUUCCUAACAAAUUUAUCAUGAACAAGUAAUUAGAGUAUUUUGACAUUCCCUUUCUAACUUAGUACAUGCUUAAUUAUUAAAUAAAAAAUUAUUUUUUAUGUAUAGCUAAAAAUGUUUGAAAAUUUAAUUUUUUAAAAAAUAUAAUUUAACCCUCCAAAUAUUAAUGAUACUAAAUGAUGAAAAAUGGAAGUAAUUCUUUUUCAUAUUUUUUGAUGAUGAAUGUUUUUAACAAAAAGUGAAAUUAUCAACAUUUUAUAGAAUUUAGGACAAAUAAAUAAUUUAACAUAAAAUAUUAAAACUUCAUACUUUAAUAAAUAUCAACAUAAAUUUUUUAACAUGUAUUUUUAGGAAAAAAAACUACUAAGGUUAAAAAAUAAAUAGUUUCAAUUUCUUUUGUAUGGUUUAAUAUGAAGGAAAAUAAUUAAGUUAAAUAAGGUGAAGAGUAUUUUUGUAAACAAAUUAUUUUUAAAAAGAAUGCAAUGUAUAUUAAUUUUAGUACCACAAAUCAAAUAACCACUAACAAGUAAUGCCAGCAUAACUAAUCCCAUGACAACUACUUUCAGUAUAACUUAUCCCAGCAUAACUUGUUUCCAAACCAAAUGACCCCUAAAAGUUUAACGACCGUAAGGACAAAAAUUAAUGUAACACUACAUGUAAUUUUAUAAGUGGGCCUAAAGAAAGUGGGGAUAGAAAAGUUGUUUCUAAUAGAUUAUCGAUCGAAAAUUAAUUUAAACAGUUGAAAUUGGCUAGUGAUUUCCGUUUUGGUUGUAGUAUUUGCUAAUUAGUGAUCUCAUUUUUGGAAAUUUCCGAGUGUACUUAGAAAUUACUCUACAUACUUAACAAAACAACGAUCUAAAAGGGAGGGUAAAGCCAAAGGAAAAUAAAAUAAAAUCUCUAACGUGAUAUUUUAUCAUAAUUAGUAGUAAGGAUUUAUAUAACAUUUUUGAUCCUUUCAGUAUGAGUAAAUUCUGAUUUUGAUCCUUAUACAUUUAUCAAUAAGAGCUGUGAUAGAUUGGUAAGUAAUUCUUCAUUUAAUAAGAGGUCUUGGAUUAAUUUAAUCCCUUUAUGGAGGAAAUAUGUUAUCUAUUUAAAUUAUUUUUAGAAGUACAUUACCCUCAAAUAUGAUUAACAAUACACGUUUAACAUAACACAUGAGUAAUUUUAAAACGGUUCGCAUGCCAGAAAAUUUGUAAUCAUUCAUAAAUAAAAGGAUUAAAGAGAAGCACAUUCCAAGUUGUUGGAGAUUAAAAAUACUUCGUCAAAUAGAAGUAUCACAAAACUAGAAUUAAAAACAAAUUCAAUAAUUAAGGGAUCAAAAGUCCUAUUAAUCCUAGUAGUAAACAAACCAUAGUGAUUUUUUUUCAUUUUUUUUGAGUUUGAUUCUGAUCUUAUAUAGUUGACUAGGUAAAACUACUUUUAAUUUAGUUUUUUUUAGGUUACACUACACUACUUGCUAUAUGAUCGUUCUACUUUUAGGUAUCUAGAGUUAAUUGCACAAAACUUAUUAAUUUUGUAUAGGUUUGAAGAAAUUCAACCACUCAUUUAUGUGGAUCAAUCCGAAUUCAUAUCAAGAAAUAAAUAAUAUAGUAUUAUUUAUAUUAUUAAUAAAUAAUAAGGGAGAAAAGUCAUAUUUUUUCAGAAAAGAUAAAAAGCGAAAAAUAGAAAACGAAAAAAACGUUUCUUUUUCUGUUUUUUCUCUUUCUGCAAAUACUCUCUUCUACUUGUGUGAAGAAUUUUAGUGAGAAGAUUUCAAUGAAGAUCAAGAUAUCUACAUCAAAACAUUCGAAACAAGCUUCUGUAAUGGGUAUGAUUUUAGACUGUAAUUUUAUAUGGUGUAGUUCUUUUUUUGUAUGUGAUUACAUUAUUAGACUAGUAAAAUAAUAUUUAAUGAUCCUGCAAACUAUGUGUUUGAUUAGAUUCUUCAUUAACAUUAGAAUAUAUGUUAAUUUUUUUGAUUUUCUUGUUAUAUGCCUUCACUGAUAGAAAGAAUGUGGUUUAACAAUAAUGGCUAACAUGGUAUGUGGUUUUUUUUCCUUAAAAAUUAUCAUUGGUGGUGAUUUAGAAAAAUUAAAGCCAUUGUUUUCUUCAUAACGGACUUGGUUAUUCUCGACAAUAUUGUUGGGUUCGAAAUCGAAAGCACAUUAUGCGGAAGCUAUUAGUUGCAAACCAUGAGAUGAUAAAUACAAAGAAAACUAAACUAAAAACAUAAUAUUAUUGAUAUGUUUUGGCCAAUUGGCCUACAUAUUAUAAAACCUAAUAUCAAAACAUUAAAUCUAUUGGGAAAUCUCCCCUUAAACAAAGACUCUUUAAUGACUACAUUGUGGAUGCUAUUGUGUUAUGGUAUGAGAAGGGGUCUUCUAUUUAUAGAUGUCCAAAACCUUGCCUCCAAGAAAGAGGUUAGCCAAAUAUGAAAAAGAAUUUUACUUUUUCUUUCAGGAAAAGUAAAAGUAAUUAUGGUAACUUUUAUUUUCCUUUGAAGAAAAAGUAAAACUUAAAUAUAGUAAGAAAAUCAGUGCAAAAACCCUAACAAAUAUUGGUGUCGUAAAAUAUUUCUUGCUCCAAAAAAAAAGUGAAUAUGACUAAGCCCAAGUGCUAUAAUUGUGAGAACAAAUUACAUUUUGCUCGUGAUUUCCUGAGCCUAAAAAGGCAUACUAUCUUAUUUAUAAUUUACAUAGUGAUGUAAAAUGUUUUUGUUAUAUUUUUUUAACUGUAUCACUUCCUAUGUGGAUUGUCGACUCAGCAGCCAUCGAGUAUAUAGCGAUGGAAAAAGAUACUUUCGUAGAUUUUUGACGAAUUCCACAAGAAUCCAAAUGGAUAUAUCUAGAAAAUAAUUCCAGAGAGGAGGUCAAAGGGAUUGGUACCUGCAAACUUGAAAUGCAUGGUGGUCGAACUCUAUAUCUACAUGAUGUACUAUUUAUCCCAAUAAUAAAGCGAAAUCUAGUUUCUGUCAGAAUGUUGAUUAAAAUUAGGAUUUAAUUUUUCUUUCAUGAACAUGAUAUGAAUUUGUAUAUGGCCGGAUAAAAUAUGAUACUAGUUAUUUUUAUGAUCGAUAUUUUGUGUUGCAUGUUAUUUAAAGUCCCAAUAAUAAAAAUAUUAGUUUUUUCUUGUUUAUGUCAACUUUAAAUUAUGAAAAUGAUGUAAAUAUAUGACAUGUUAGGCUUGAUCAUAUUGAUCAAUAAAAAAUGAACCACCAUUACUAGAAAUUGAGCAUAUGACAACAUAUUUUUUGACAACGAUUGCAAAUUCGUUGCUAUAGAGUGUUUGGUGUACAUCAAAGUGACACCACUUUAAGAAGGUCUUUCACAAGAAGUCAAGUUAAGGACCUUCAAGUAUUUCAUUUCAAGCUUUAUGGAUGAAAAUAGAAUCUUUGGAAGGUUCCAAUAUGGAUGACUUGAAGAUAUUUAUUAUACUAAGUGUCUACCAUUUAACUACCUUGUAAUUUAAAUGAAAGGCAAUUUGGUCUUUCUUCACUUCUUUUAACCCUUAGUAUUAAUAUCUCAUUUUGUUUGAAGCGGGCCAAAUAGAGAAUGAAAUGCAUAAAAAAAAAUAGGGGAAGGAAGUCAGAGACUCCUUUUUUUUUGGUUUAAGGGCUGCUCAAAAAUGCUUCAGCUGAGGAAUCAUGCUAUUUACAUGAUUCAACUUACUCUUCUCAGGAAGCUCCUAAUCUCACUGGCAGUUGAAUCAUGUCAUUUAGGUGAUUAGCUAUUAGUGUUGAACUACUAGUUUUUGAAGAUUCAAUAUUUUGUGCCUCCUUUGCAAGCUUGAGAAUCCUUUGUUGAUUUUCAACACUUGACCUAGAAUUUGCAAGUAAGGUUACUACCUUCUUGAGGAUUUUAAUAGAUUAGGUGCUUUUAGUUCUCAAUUAAGAGGGUGUUUUGGUUAGUUCACUAUUAUAUCUUUUAAUUGUUUGAAUCUAAUUGUGUCUAUCUUCCUUUAAUUUUUAUUGUUAAUUUCUAUCUUGCUUCUAUAUUCUUAUUUUACGUCAAAUUGGUAUCAAGAGGUAGGAUUAGAUUUGUUUGCACAAAUCUAAGUUUUGGAGUUUUGAUUUUUUUAAAAAAAGAAAAAAUUCAAAAAAAAAAGAUCGAAUUUGAUUGAAAGUUGUUUGAUAUUAUUCCUUGAGUUAUAUGUUGUUGUUUUCUAGUUGAAAAAAAAAAAAGAAUACAUGACUCAAAAAAAAUUGAAAGUGAUGAUGAAGAAGAAACAUGAAAAUGAGUUUUAUUGAUUAGGUGCUUGGUUGAAGAAAUUAUUGGUUAGAAGUUGUUGAUAGUGUUGUGGGGAAGUUAUACCUCAAACUGGAGCUCAUUUGCUUGGGUAUUGAAGAAGAUGAAUUUGAGAAUUACAAAAUAAUCCAAAUCAUUCAAACUUGUUUUCUCUUCUUUUCUUGUUAGUUCUAGCUAGUAUACUUUGAGUAUUAAUUCAUACUUAAUGUUAAAUUAGUUUGUGUCCGCUUAUUUUAUUUGUGUCUAAUUUUUGCGUGUUUCUUCACUCAUUUCAUUGUAUGCUUAUUUAUAUCCUUGUCUGUUAGUUUUAAUUGUCCUUUCUUGACUACAUAAAUUUCACUCCAUUCCGAAGAAGUAGUAUCACUUGUGAAUUAUUUGACGGCGUUGACUCUCAAUCUUGGGUUAUUCGAGAGUGAAACAAGCAAGAGUGAGGUGAGUUCAUUUGAGAGUGACCUUAAAAUCCUUUGGCCUUAGAGUGAUACACGAGUAUGAGUGACAAAAAGAGAAAAAUAUGAUGUGAGUGAGUAGUGAGGAACUCUUUUUACUAACUUUUAAAAUUUAUUUUGUAGGUACAAUGACUCAAUUUGAGAGAGAAUCCUCUAGCAAAAUAGAAAUUUUGCUUUAAAAAUUAUUGAAAGAAAUGAAGGAAAAAUUGGAAGAUGUGGAUAGAAGGGUGAGAACAAAAAUUAGCAAAGCAACGACUUGAGGUUUUCAAUCUCAUUAGUCAACAUGAUGAGGGAUCAAGUAAGACUCCUCUUGAUACAAUUCCAUCCCACAUGGUGGUGCAAGAUAUCCUCUCUCCUAAUGCUACUUUAUCAAAAAUUUGCAAUCAAGCAACACUUUUAAAGGAGGAAAAUUAACAAAGAAAUCUUCCACCACAAGUUAAUAAAACUCAAAUGAGAGCCCAACAUAACCAUGAAGAGUAUGAUUCUUUUGAUGGUGAUAAUUAUGAUUAUGGAGUCGAUGAUCAAGUUCAAAAAGAGAGGCUAGGUGGGAGAGGAAGAAGAAAACGGAAUGAAGGGUGGUAUCCGGUUAAUGGUUGAGAAUACAAUUGAAGAAAUGAUGAUAAAAUCGAGGAUUCAACAACAUCAAGGUUAUGUCACACCCCUUUUUUUUUUAACUAAAAAAGAUAUAAUUUUAAGUUUGAAAGAGUUUUUAUUAUUAAGUGACAAAAGAUGAAAUUUAUUUCGAAAAUGAUUCUUUUUCAUUUGAACUCAGAGUUGACACUUGGCAUAAAUUGGGUGUGCCAAGUCACCAUUGGAAAUUCUUUUAAAAAUGAUUUGACUCUAAAAACUGAUCCGCGAACAGAAAUUUUAGUUAAAGAAUUUUGUUGACCGAGGGGAAGGUGUUAGGCACCCAUCGAUCAAGUGGUUCAACCACAGUCAUUUUGUGGAGCAUAUUGGGUAGUGUGACACUACAAAAUACAUAAACAAACAAAACAUACAACGAGAAAACAAACAACCAAACAGUUAAAAGUCUGAAAAUAUAAUGUCCAGUCCAAUUUAUUACAUACCAAAAUAAAAAUACUGAAAUGAAAACCUAAACUAUCCUAGCUAUGAUUUACCCCAUGCCUCGGGUCUUAAUCACAAACCUCCAUUGCAUACAUGAUACUUUGGGGUAUUUACCGGUGAAUAAGUGCAAUGUGCCUCGGGGCAUUCCCCUACCAAAUAAGUACAAUUGCUCCGAAUGCGAUAAAACAAAACCAUUCAACAAAUAUUUCAAACAUUCAACAAUCAUUAGUUCUUAUGAUUUGCCUAACCGAUCUAAGAUUUGCCUAUUUAAGUGUCGGCCUAAAGCAUGCUACUACCGAAUUCAACAACAUCCAUCAAUAAAUUAAAAUAAUCAACAUUCACCUUAUUCGUUCUCAAUUCUCCCCAAAUUUUAUUCUCACUCUCAAUUAACUAAUUCUUCGACUAAUACUUUAAUUUUCCAAAAUUCAAAUUCUAACAUCAAAACCAUACAUACAACAAAGAUUCAAGCAUGCUAAACGCACAAACCAUUCACAAUCACAUAAAAAUUAAAGAAAGACAAAAAAGAAUUUGACCUUAAAUGCUUUUUUGAUUCAUCAGAUUCAAUUAAGACGAAUAUUGUCAGACCUCGAACAGAAAAACACGCUAAAUAAAAUUCGAUCCACACCAGACCUCGAUCAAAGAACCUUAACAAAUGGACUUAACAACUCGAAUGUAACUCGUCGAUGGUAAUUGUGUUAUUUCUGGCGAAACCUGCCAAAAUUAAUGCAAAGGAUGAGUUAAUUUUGGGAUAUUGUUGUCACUUCCAGGUCUGAUGAUGGCUUCUGCCGCUGGAACAAUGCAACAACGAUUGUGGAGGGGCGUUGUGUUACUGGUUUUAGGUAGGGUGGAACCGGUGGUUUUGCCGGAGCUCCGACGAUGAUGAAUUUCACCGAAACGACCUCUAUUUUUGUACUGUCAUCAUUUUGUUCCCUCUAAUUUCCCCUCUUUGAUUUUUUUACUCUCUCCAUUUCGAUCUUAAUGUGUGUGUGUAUUAAUGAACUCUUUGUGUGUAUUUACCGAUUGGUGUGUAAGUGUAAAAAAAUGAGAAUUUUCCCUAUAAUCUCUGAGUGGGUCUAUUAAUAGAGUCCCUCUCUAUCGAUGGUGUGGGCCUGUUAACGACGUCUCUUCCAAUCUCCGCAUGCUGUAUGUGUAUCCUCUGUAUAUGAGAGUGUGUGUCUGUGUAAAAUUCCAGUGAGUUCCUCCUCCUGUGAUGUGUAGUGUGCGUAUAUGUAGCUAUGUGUAUGAGUUGUGUGUAUGUGAGUUCCCAAUGGUGUAUUGUUGUUAUCUGUUAUAUUGCAAAAGGAGGAAAAAUGUGACAAGGGGAUAGGGCUAGGGGGUAUAGAGGUUGAGGGUUGGGUAGGGUAGAAAACUAUUAUUUUUGUUAGGGUGAGGUGGUUAAAUUUAAUUGAGUGGAGUGUUAAAGUUAUGGAUUUAGUUAUUUUUUAACCUUUUGGAAAAAAAUUAUGGAAUGGUGUGGGGUGUAUGGUAAGGUAAAUGAGUAAAAAUGAUAUCGGGGAGGGACAAAAUUAUGUGUCUACAACAUGCCCCCCUUUGAAUGUAAACACAAAAUAUUUUCAUACAAAGAAGUAGAUAACAAGACAAAAUUUUGACCCGAUUAUUAUUCAAAGGCAGAAAUAGAAAGAAGAAGGACAACCGAGUUGGGGAGUCGAGAGAGGUCCCAUCGAGGUUCUGGUCCGCGGCCUGUCAUUAAUCAAAAAUAAAAAUUAAAAAUUAAAAACACAAAUAAAAUUACAAAAGUCCUAUCUAUGUAGCUUCUCUUGACUCUUGACUUGAGUUUUUAAUGCUUUCAAAAUUGACAAAAGGACUGAUCUUCUUUGAGCUCUGAUGCUAGAGAUUAACUCAAAAACUGACCAUGUUCUGUCAGUGGUACUUCAGAAUUUGAACCCGAAUUUGAAAAUUUUCAUCCUAUUCUUUAGGCGGGCUCCUGACGUAUAAUUUCUUCACCUUGUUGCUUUACUUUCAAUUUCAUCACCCUUUUCUCCAAGCGGGAUCCUGACUUGCUACUUUUUAAUCUUUUGAUUUUCAAUUUCAUCACCCUGUUCUUCGGGAGGGCACCCAACUUGUAAUUUCCUUACUUUAUUGACUUUCAAUUGCUUCACCUUGUUGCUUGACUUUUAAUCUAUUCACCCUAUUCUUCAGGUGGGCUUCUGACUUGCAAUUGCAUCACCCUGUUUUUCAGGUGGGCUCCUGACUAGUGAUUUCAUUACCCUAUUCUCCAGGCGGGUUCUCGACUUACAAUUUCAUCACUUUGUUUUUCAAGUGGAUUUCUGACUUGCCAUUUUAUCUCCCUGUUCUUCAAGAGGGCUCCUGACUUACAAUUUCAUCACCUUAUUCCUCAGGCGGAGUCCUGACUUGCUAUUUUAUCACCCUAUUCUUCAGGUGGACUCCUGACUUGCUAUUUCAUCACCCUGUUCUCCAGAAGGACUCCUGACUUUCAAUUUUAUCACCCUGUUCUCCAGGCUGGCUCCUGACUUGCCAUUUCAUAACCCUGGUCUUCAGGCGGGCUCCUGACUUGCAAUUUCAUCACUCUAUUUUUCAGGUAGGCUCUUGACUUGCAAUUUAAUCACCCUAUUCUUCAGGAGGGCUUUUGACUUAUCAUUUCAUCACCCUGUUCUUCAGGCGGGCUCUUGACUUGCAAUUUCAUCAUCCUGUUCUUCAGGCAGGCUCCUGACUUGCUAUUUCAUCACCCUAUUCUUUAGACGGGCUCUUGACUUGCAAUUUUAUCACCCUAUUCUUCAGGUGGGCUCCUGACUUGCAAUUUCAUCACCCUGUUCUUCGGGAAGGCUCCUGACUUUUCAUUUCAUCACCCUAUUCUUUAGGCAGGAUCCUGACUUAUAAUUUCAUCACCCUGUUCUUCAGGCGGGCUCCCAACUUACCAUUUUAUCACCCUGUUCUUUAGGCGAGCUCCUGACUUGCAAUUUCAUUACUUUGUUAUUCAGGUGGGCUCCUGACUUUUCAUUUUAUCACCCUAUUCUUUAGGUAGGAUCCUGACUUGCCAUUUCAUCACACUGUUCUUCAGGUGGGAUCUUGACUUGCCAUUUCAUCACCCUGUUCUUCAGGUAAGCUCCUGACUUGCCAUUUCAUCACCCUUUUCUUUAGGCAGACUCUUGACUUGCAACUUAAUCACCUAGUUCUUUAAGUGGGCUCCUGACUUGUAAUUUCAUCACUCUGUUUUUCAGGCGGGCUCCUGAUGUGCAAUUUCAUCAUCCUAUUUUUCAGGCGGGCUCCUGACUUUUCAUUUAAUCACCCCAUUCUUCAGGUAGGCUCCUGACUUGUAAUUUUAUCACCCUGUUCUUCAGGCGGGCUCUUGAUUUUCAAUUUCAUCACCCUGUUCUUCAGGCGGUCUCCUGAAAUCAAAAUCAAAACUAGAACAAAAAUUAUCCCACACAAAGAUUAUGAUAAAAAAAGAUUUCAUUUUCCAGAAAAAAUAAUGUCUCAUUUUGCUCGGAGGGUCCUAAAGUGAAGUUCCUAAUAACAUGAAUUUAAUUUUCUUUUUGCCCUAAUUUAUCAUCAAAAGCUUUUGCGGGUGUCAACAUUCACAACUACUUUCAACAAUGUAUAAUGCAAAAAUGAAUCAAGAUUCUAAUCAACAAAUGCACCUUUUGAGGGUAAAGUUGAAUGACUGAGACCAAACAGUCCGUCUCUUAAGAGUGAAAGUGAAAAAUACUUGCUAAAAGUGCAUCUUUUAGGAUUAACGACUCAAAUUAGGAAGUGCACCUCAUAUCCACAAGACAUGAAAGACCCAAAGAGUGUGUCUCCUAGGUGUACAAGAUAAUGAGUUUCACCAUAAUUGUGAUUAUCAAACGUGUAUAGCAACACUGCUCUUGCAUUUGCAGAAAUGAGGAAUUGGACCUCUGGAUAUUUGCACUUUGAAGCCUUUGAUUAGAAGGUAGCAACUGUUCCUGUUUCAUAGAAAGAAAACUAGUGAGUUUAAAAAGGGCAGUUGUCUUGCGGCUUUGGAUUUUAAGGCGAUUUCGCUUGCAGUUGUCCAAUUAAUUUUGCUUUCAACUAAUGGCAUAUGUCAUUGACUUGUUGCAUCAUUGAUCUAAACUCAGAUUUAAAAGUGACUCAGAAACAAACACAAUAUCUCCAUUUUUCUAUGUCUCUCAAAUAAAUCUUUUGAACCUUGGUAUUUCCUUGAUUCCCUAAACUUGUUUUCUGACCAAACUUCCUGCUUGUCUUGUUUCGACUUGCAAACAUGUUUCUUCCAUGUGCUGGACUUUUGUCUACCUUUGUGCGAUUGAAGAAGUUGGUAGCAAGUUUUGAAAUCUUUUCUCACUUGUUUUAAGGUGGACUUGACUCAAAGACAUGAGAAAAAUAAUUUUUUGUUCGAAUGACACUCAAAAAAACAAAAAUAGAAAUAUGUAGAAGAAAGAAAAGACAAUGUUUGUCCCCUUUUUAAAAUAAAGAAAAGAAAAAAAAAUUAUCUGAGAAUGACAAUCAAUUCUAAUGAUUAUUCUAUGCAUUUUGGAUCAAUCUGCCUGAUCUUUUAAUCCAAACUUUCCACCAAUUGUUGUUGAGUUAAUGACCCUGAAAUUGUGUUGCUUCCUUAAGUUAAUCGCACUUAAAACUCAUUCGGCUAGUGACACCUUGAAUAUUUUCAGCAACAAGCUUCUCUCAUUUUCUUUUUUCUCAACUCAUAAUCGUCGUACCCAUGAGGGUUUUCAUCAAUAAAGCGCUCUCUUUGUUUUUACCUUCAACUCCCUAUUGGCUUAUAUUGCCUGUGAGGUUUUUCACCAAUAAGACUCUCACUUUUUUUUCUCUCAACUCACUAUCGCCUUACGGUACUCGCGAUGGUUUUCACCUAUAAGACUCUCUCAUUUUUAUUUCUCGCCUGAUUUCUUAUACUGAGGAAGAGAAGUAGUUCCCAAAAUGCAUCAUCAUAUGCAUUGCAUGAUUAGCCUUAGCAGUCUCUAAGAUUGAUCUGAAGGUCUUUAUUUGGUAUACAACUUGACUUUUGGAUAAGUUUAGAAAGAAAGAAUGGCAUGACGCCCAAACAAGACUUAAAUUGAGGUGAGACUUACAACUUUUGAAAUCGACUCAAACAGCGAAGAUUAACUCAUGCCCCAAUUUUUUUUGGCUGAGUAAUUUUAAAUUAUUUAUUUGGUUGGAUCGAUCCCAGAGUAGGGCAGUCUACGUAUCUCACUCCCAAAAGAGGAGAAUCAGGUCACACGUAGUUCUGACAACUUACUCUUUUGCUUGAUUCUGAUUUCUUUUCUCUUUUUUUUAUGGACUCUUUUUCUGACUUUUUUUGCAUCUAUUUUUCUUGACACCCUUUUUUCUUUCUUGUUGGAUAAUUUCUUUUGAAACUUUUCUGACUCUAUUUUUUGCCUGACACUUUUUCUUUCAAACUUUGCUGACUCUAUCUUGAUUUCAAAAGAGGGGUAUGAAAUAAAAUAGAACAAAAACUCAAAUGUGGUAAACAAAGGAUGACACAAUGUUUGGAUAACAAAAUGGAAUAGCUUCGUCAUAUCAAUCCUUGAAAAUGCAAAUACACAUCAUGACAUAUGAAGUGAAAGAUGAAGAUUAUUUGUGAAAUUGAGCUUGUUUAUCACUUCUUCUUCUACACUUGUCAAACAUACAACUCCACCUUUAUUGUACAUCCUUCACAUCGAAUGACCCAUGUUUUGUGGAGCUGAUUAUCUUCCUGUUUCUCUUAACAUAGGGAUCAUGCAUCCACUAUUUGACCUAUUUGAGAUAUGUUUUUCAAUUGAUGACCAAGUUAUUCUUGUGCAUCUCAAAAUAAUUGCCUUGAUUUUUAAAGAAGGCUUUAAUUUGAUCACCAAAUGCGUCAACACUCUACCUAUUUUGUCAGAUGCUCUCUUUUUCUAAAUUUAGCUCUCUAAUUCAAAGUUCCUGCUUAAACUGAAUUUUAAGAUCCAGCUAAAAAAUUUUCAGCAUGUCAUAUCACUAGAACCAACAUAAAAUGAACUGUGUAAAGAAAACAAACAGACAACUUAAAAUAAGACAAAACAACAAGGACACCACAUUUCAUUAAAAGAAAAGAUAGAAGAGUGUAAACAAAUAUGACAGAAAAAAAAAAGAUAGAUUCCGAACUACAAUCCUAAAAUAAUUCAAAAAAAAAAAUAAACUACCAACAAUCCUUCCAAGUAAGGAAAUAAGUGACUUCCUAAUUGUUGAGCUUGACAUCUUAACUACUGGUUUGCAUAUCAGUAUGCCUAGAGCUUCCACCGCUGUCCAACAUAUUUUCUUCAACAAAUAAGUUCUGGAUUCCCAUGCUUAACUCAUUGCUUCCUACAUAUUGUGCAUUACCGUGUGUUGGUGAAGGAUUCCAUGUGACGCUCGUAGUGUCAAUGUUUUGCACUACAAUUAAUUUUUCUUGAAUUAUCCUUUAUAUUUGUCUUUGCAAAGCACGACAAUCCUCAAUUCUGUGAUCCUGAACACCAUAAUGAUAUGCAAAUCGUACAUGAGGAUUAAAAUUUCUUGAAUGCGGGUCAGUAGUCUACCCAAGGGGAAGAGUGAUCAUGCCUCAUUGUACUAAUCUUUGGAACAGACUAGCAUAUGAUUCUCCAAUUGGCAUAAAACUAUUCCUAGGCUUUUGCAUCUUUUCACUGUUUGACUUGGAUCGAAUAUCAGGCCUAGAAGGGAUUUGAUAUGUUUGUGGAGUUGGACGAUGACUCUGUGGAGUUGUUGCGCGCCAUUGUGAGUAACAAAGAGGUUAAACACAUGAUUGUGUGUUGUAUACUGGGUAUGGAGGUAGGGAAAUAAAGUAUAAUAGAUUUUGGGAGUUAUUAUAUAGAGCUUGGGUAUGACCUUGGGCUAGAGACUGAUGAUAAUAAUGACGUGGUCUUCUUGGGAAUUCUCGUUGUCCAUCUAUAAUAGCAAUUGCAUUUUCCUCAUUCUUCUUCCCUCCAGUUUCCCUUAAUUGAUUGUCAUAUCGUCCUAAAUAUUUCCUGGAUUCCUCGUGUCCAUCAUGCUCUUCAAAUUUCGAUAUCUUAUGGCUUGGGGAAGUUUUACACUUGAAGACAUGCCCAGUUUUUAUAUGAAAUAUCUUCUUUAUCCGCAAGUCCUAGGAAACUUUUCAUAGCAUUUUCUGUACUCUUCGUUUUUCCAAUCAUUUUCUCUGGUUCUUUUGACCCACUAGACUUCUUGUUAUGAAAUUUUGGUGGUCUCAUUAACAUAAAUGUAGGUUCAGAAGUAUAGCGAUGAUCACCAAGAGUAUUGAACAUGGGCCCACAGCAGUAUGGGAAAGCACAACUGUUGGGCAGAUAGCCAAUGUGGAAGCUUCAGUUAAGAAUUGAGUAAGAAAAUCACAGAUGACAUGUGGUGUUGUGAAUGUAGCAGGCUUAUACUGAGGAGCUAGAGAAAGAGAGUUCGAAGUAUUGGGAUGCAAUUGACGGGGAAUAAUAUAAUGUUGUGGUGAAUCAAAAACAGUAUGAGAUUGACUUUGCAAUUGUAAUGAAAAACUCAAGGUAUUUGCAAGGGUAAUAGUGGGGACUGGAGGAGGAGGCAAACCACUGGCCUAAGCUCGGUGCAUUUACGUCAUUUGUUAUCUUAGUCUCCUAAUCUCUUGCUUUAAACUCUUAUUUUCUCGACUAUUUGUCUGAUCUAUGAUGUCACUCUCUAUAUCCUUGUUGGACAUAACUAACCCUUUCUUGGAUUUGGUGUGAUGUGGAGGACCAGCUAUAAUGCCACAAACAAACCACCUCGAAACUAAAUAAACAAGAGAUAACAAAUGCGUUAGAGUUUAACACUUUCUCAAAAUCUUUUUUUUUCUUCCUUUCUUUUUCUUUUUGAAAAGAUCACCAAACCCUGAAAGGGCGCCUACGUAUCUCACCUUCGAAAGGGGAGAAUCAGGUGUGCGUAGUUCGUGAAGUUUUGGCACAACAUUGCCGAUCAAACUCUUUUUUUUUUUUGAAACUUUGAGAAAAAAAGAAAAUAACAAAUUGUAAAAAGAAUUAAUGAAUUUUUUUUUGAAUCAGUUUUACACGCCCUAUACAAAAUGAAACCUAUGAUUAUCAAAGAAAAUAUUUUUGGGUUUUCGAUUUUGAAUUUCAUAUGAAAAAUGAAACUUGAAACUACUAAAGAAAAAACUUUUUGUAGUUUUCUUUUAAAGAUGUAUAUGACACCUACUCUAAAUGAAAAGUGAAGAAAAUCUUUUUAGAUUUUUGAAAUAAGAUCACCGAACCCUAGAAGGGCUGCCUACGUUUCUCACUCCCGAAAGAGGAGAAUUAGGUGUGCGUAGUUUGUUUAGAUUGGACAAUUAAACUUUAGUAAACUGGACUACGACUUGAGGGAAACGACCAAAUCAGACAAUAAAAAAACGUCAAUAAAAUCUUUUUUGAGUUUUCAAUUUGACACUUCACAUAAAAAUGAUAUCAACAACUAUGAAAGGAAAAUCUUUUUAGUAUUUUUGUUAUAUGAAAUGUACAAAACUUCUACCAUCUUUUUAUUGAAUUUUUCUUUUAUAAAAAGCUCCUACUCAAAAAAUAGCUUUUUGAAAAUUUUGAAUUAUGAAUGCUCACUAAAGGAAACAAAAGGAAAAUCUUUUUGAUGUUUUUAUUUUUUGAGAAAUAAGUGCCAAAAUUAAAAUUUUUUAUGAAUUUUUGGAUUGUGAAAAACGAAAGCUAUAAAUAACUCUAAAAAAAAACUCCGAAACUCUUUUCUGAUUCACCUUUCUUCUUCUUUUUCUUACCUAAACACACGCUCCUUUAAUUCUAGCACACGUUUUCCCCAAAUCAGUCCAUUACACGACCCUGCUAUCCUCAAAGAUGCACCAAUUAGCAUGUAAGGAUGCUUUAGGGUGAGUCUCCUAUAAAGGACCAAGUGGGUCCCGCUAGGUCUCAAUAUGAUGCGGAUUAGCAUUAACAAAAGGCUGACCUAGGCUGAGGGCCACUAACAAGGCUAUUAGGGGGAGCGUAUGGUCGAUAGUGGCUGCGACAACUUUUCACCCACUCUAUAUGUCCGACGGCUCCCCCUCCUAAAAUAAGGGUGACUCAACUAGAGUUCGUGUACACGACGUGCACUCCGGGACUUGUUACGAAAGAAAUGACUCGGGUUAUGCAAAUGAUGCCAGAUAUAAAGUGAUAACACAUAAAGAAAGACUGUAAACAAAGAGCACGUAGGCAUCCAACAAUGAUAAAACAAUAAUAAAAAUAAUAACACAAACAAACUUUUUAUACACAUAUAAUGUCAAACUAAGCCGAUACAACUCAAAAAUAAGCUCGAAUUCUGAAAACUCUCCACCAGAGUUGCCAGAGCUAUUACACCCCUUUUUUAACUAAAAAAAGAUAUGAUUUUAAGUUUGAAAUGAUUUUUAUUAUUAAGUGAAAAAAAUAAAAUUUGUUUCGAAAAUGAUUCUUUUUUAUUUGAACUCAGAGUCGCCACUUGGCAUAAAUUGGGUGUGCCAAGUCACCUUUGAAAAUUCUUUUCAAAAAUGAUUUGACUCUAAAAACUAAUUUGCAAACAAAAAUUUCGUUGACUGAAGGAAAGGUGUUAGGCACCCCUUGAUCCCGUGGUUCAACUACAGUUACUUUAUGGAGCAUAUUGGGUAGUGUGAUACUACAAAAUGCAUAAACCAACAAAAUAUACAACGAGAAAACAAACAACCAAACAGUCAAAGGUCUUAAAAUAUAAUGUCCAGUCCAAUUUAUUACAUACCAAAAUAAAAAUGAUGAAAUGAAAACCUAAACUAUCCUAGCUAUGCUUUACCCGAUACCUCGGGUCUUGAUCACGAACCUCCAUUGCGUACAUGAUACUUUGGGAUAUUUCUCGGUGAAUAAGUACAAGGUGCCUCAGGGCAUUAUCCGACCAAAUAAGUACAAUUGCCCCAAAUACGAUAAAAUAAUAUCAUUCAACAAACAUUUUGACAUUCAACAAUCAUUGAUUUUUAUGGUUUGCCUACCCGACCUAAGAUUUGCCUAUUUAAGUGUCGUCUUAAAACGUGAUACUAUCUAAUUCAACAACAUCCAUCAAUGAAUCAAAAUAAUCAACAUUCACCUUAUUCGAUUUUUAAUUCCCCCUAAAUUUUAUUCUCACUCUCAAUUAACUAAUUCUUCGACUAUCAUUUUAAUUUUUCAAAAUUCAAAUCUUAACAUCAAACACAUACACACAACAAGAUUUCAAGCAUGCCAAAUGCACAAAACAUUCACAAUCACAUGAAAAUUAAAGGAAGAGAAAAGAGAAUUUGAUCUUAAAUGCUUUUUUGAUUCAUCAGAUUCAAUUAAGAUGAAUGUUGUCGGACCUCAAACAGAAAACCACGCUAAACAAAAUUCGAGCCACACCAGACCUCGAUCAAAGAACCUCAACUAACAGACUCAGUAAAUCGAAUGUAACUUGUCGAUGGUAAUUGUGUUAUUUUUGGUGAAACCCGCCAAAAUUAACGCAAAAGAUGAGUCAAUUUUGAGAUAUUGUUGUCACUUUUGGGUCUGAUCAUGGCUCUUUCCAUUGGAAUAGUGCAACGACGGUAGUGGAGGGGUGUUGGGUUACUGGUUUUAGGUAAGGUAGAACCGGUGGUUUUGCAGGAGCUCCGGCGGAAACGAAUUUCACCGGAACGACCUUCAUUUUUUUAUCACUGUUAUUAUUUUUCUUCUUUCCUCCAAUUCCCCCUGUCUUAUUUUCUCACACUAUAUCCAUUCUGAUUUCAGUGUGUGUGUGUUAAUGAACUCUUUGUGUGUAUUUAUCGAUUGGUGUGUGUGUAAAAUUAAUGAGAAUUUUCUCUAUAAUCUAUAAGUUGGUGUGUUAAUGGAGUCCCUCUCUAUCGAUGGUGAGGAUCUAUUAAUGGAGUCUCUCUCAAUCUCCUCAUGCUGUGUGUGUAUCCUUUGUAUAUGAGAGUAUAUGUUGGUGUAAAAUUUUAGUGCGUUCCUCCUUCUGUGAUGUGUCAUGUGCGUAUAUGUAGCUAUGUAUAUGUGAAUUCCUAAUGGUGUAUUGUUGUUAUCUGUUAUAUUGCUAAAGAAAGCAUAAAACGUGACAAGGGAUGGGGCAGGGGGUCUAGGGGUAUAGGGGUAGGGGGUUGGGUAGGGUAGAAAGUUGUUAUUUUUGUUAGAGUGAGGUGGUUAAAUUUGAUUGGGUGGGGUGCUAAAGUUGUUAUAAAUUUGGUUAUUUUUUUUCCUUUGGGGGAAAAAUUAUGAAAUGGUAUGGGGUGUAUGUUAAGGUAAAUGAGUAAAAAUGAUAUCAGGGAGGGACAAAAUUAUGUGUCUACAGGUUACCUUUCAUUCUUCAAAGGAAUUAGUGACUCGAAUGAAAAUAUUGAUUUAAUUGUUAAAUUUGAAAGGUAAUAUAAUUUCAAUACUGUGAGUGAUGUUAAAAAGAUGAAUUAUGCUCCGAGUCACGUUGAUGGUUUGGUUUUACAUGGUAGGAGAAAAUUGAAAGAUUCUUUGGUAAAUAGAAACUUUGUUACAUGUUGGAAUGACAUGAAACGACGUAUGAGAGAAAGAUUUUUAGGUAUUCUAGGUUUUGAGCUAAUGUCAAUAAUGAAGAGGUGAAGCUUGUGGAAAGAUUUAUCUUGAGCUUAAAUAAGAAGAUAAGGAAACCAUUGAAAUUACAUCAUCUUUCUACUUUAUAUGAUUCUUAUCAAAUGAAAAUCAAGGUGGAGGGUCUUUAAAAGAAAAACAAGUCAAAGGUGCAAUAUUCUUCUUCUUUAUGGGCUAAAAAUAAGGAAGUUUGAUAAUCAUAUCCCACUUGAAACAAAUUCAACGGUGAAAAGCAAAAAUUUAGGUCCAACUUGGACAAUGACAAAUCAAAGUUGGACUACAAGGAUGAAGGGGACAAAGCUAAACUUGAAACUCCAUAUAAAUUUAAGUGUUUUAAAUGUCAAUGAUGUGAUCAUAAAAAAAAUGAGUAUCCUAAUGAAAGAACUAUCAUAACAUUGAAUGAUGGUGGUUAUCAAAUUAAAUAUGAAUCAAAAGAUGACUACGUAGAGGAUAAUAGUAGUGAUGAGUUUAUGUGAGAAGGUGACGAAUAAGAAAUUAAUGAUGAUGAAAAACUUAUUUUUGUUGUGAGGAUAAGUAUGAGUGCUCUAGCAUGGAAAUAUCUUGAUCAAAGGGAGAACUUGUUUCAUAAUUGGUGUAGAGUUCAAGAGCAAUUAUGUUUCUUUAUCAUUGAUAGUAAAAGUUGUGUCAUUGAUGCUAGUGUAUCUAUGAUAGAACAAUUAAAUCUUCUAAUAAAAAGGCAUUCAAAACCUUAUAGAUUGCAAUGGCUCAAUGAAUGUUGUGAACUCAAGGUGACCAAAAGAGUUUUGAUAAAUUCAAGGUUGAAAGUUAUCAUGAUGAAGUGCUUUGUGAUGUUGUAUCAAUGCAAGCUUAUCAUUUAUUGUUGGAAAUACAAUGAAAAUAUGAUAUGGGGGCUAAACAUGAUGGAACCUCAAAUUGUUAAGAAUGGUAAAAUGCACAUUCUUAACCCAUAUUUUUCUUUUCAAGUGAGUGAGAAAUAUGAAAAAAUGGGAGAGUUGAAAGAAAAACUUGAGAGAGAAAAGAAAGAGAGGGGUAAGGGAGCAAAAAUGAUAAAUCAAGAGAGGAAAAAGGAGAGGUUGAGAGAUCAAGGGAGAAUGAGUUAUCACAAGAAAAGAGAGGUGAGAAAUAAAAGAAAAAAAAAAUAAAAUAUGUAUGAUUUGCAAAAUCAAGAGUACAUAAAAGAGCUAAAUAUUGAUGAUGCUACUCAAGUCAUAUUUAUUAAACCUAAAGGUUAUUAUUUGCUUUAUAAUAAUGACCUAACUUUUUUAUCUUUGCCAAGUGUUGUUUCUUCUUUGUUGCAAGAUUAUGAAGAUCUAUUUUCAGAAGAAAAACUAAGUAGGUUGCCUCUUUUGAGAGCAAUAGAACAUGAAAUUGACUUUUUACUGGGUUCUCAAAUACCCAACUAAGCGGCUUAUAGGAGUAAUCCUCAAGAUACUAAAAAUUACAAAGACAAGUAGUGAAACUUGUGAAUAAAGAUUUGGUGAGGAAAGCUUAAGUCCAUGUGUGGUGCCCGUAAUUCUAGUACCCAAGAAGGAUGGGACAUGGAGGAUGUGUGUAGGUUGCCAUGCCAUUAAUAAAAUUAUGGUAAAAUAUCGACAUCCUAUUCCCAGAAUUGAUGAUAUGCUAGAUGAAUUGUGUGAUUCUACCUUAUUCUCUAAAAUUGAUUUGAGAAGUGGAUACCAUCACAUCCGAAUGAAAUUUAAAGAUGAACUAAAAAUUAUUUUUAAUACCAAAUUUUAAUUAUAUUUGUGGAUACUGAUUUUUGGGCUAACCAAUAACCAAGUACUUUUAUGCAAUUAAUGAAUCAUGACUUAAGUUAUUUAUUAAUAGUUUUGUUGUGAUUUAUUUUGAUAAUAUUUUGAUUUAUAGCAAGUGUUUGGAUGAUCAUGUGCAAUAUUUGAGAAUGAUAUUUUAUGUGUUGAGAAAUUAAAAGUUAUUUAUGAAUCUUAAAAAGUAUUCUUUUGUGUAUGAAUAUCUUGACUUCUAGAUUGAUGGGUUUUGAGAGCUUGAAGGAGUUAUAUUCUAAUGAUAAUGAUUUUAGAAAAGUCUUUGGAGAGUAUCAAGUGAGCUUGAAUAGGUGUGUGCAAGUUGUUAAGGAGGUAAAUAAAGUUAGAACUCAUAGAUUUGAAUUAACGGAGGGCUACUUGUUCAGAAAUGGAAAACUUUGUAUGCCUAUGUCUUCAUGGAGGGAGUUAUUGGUGAAAGAGGUACACAAUGGAGGUUUGAUUGGUCAUUUUAGAUUGUCAAAAACCUUAGAUAUUCUUAUUGAACCUUCUUUUUCACCUAAAAAUGAUAAGAUAUUUGGAAAGAAUUUGUGCUAGGUGUUUGAAUUAUAAGCAUGCUAAAUUUUGUACCCAACCCCAUGGCAUGUAUACCCCCUUGCCUAUUUACAUCGGUCCUUGGCUAGAUAUUUUCAUGGAUUUUGUUGUUGGCCUCUCCAGGACUAGCAAUGGUAAGGAUAGCAUCUUUAUUGUUGUGGAUGGAUUUUCAAAAAUGAUUCACUUUAUUUCUUGUCAUUAAAGUGAUGAUGUAUCUCAUUUUGCUACUUUAUUUGUUCAUAUGAUGAAAUUGCAUGGUGUUCCCAAAAUAAUUGUUAGUGAUAGAGAUUUAAUUUUUUUAGUAAUUUUUGGAGGUGUUUGUGGAGAAAUUUGAGAAUCAAAUUGCUAUUUCUACUUCUUGCCAUCCUCAAACGGAUGGUCACACCGAGGUGGUUAAUAGAAAUUUAGGUAACAUGCUUGAUAACGUUCAAACUUACACUCAAAUUAUGUGUAAGGCAGAUGUUGUCCAUAUAAUUACCCAACUAAAAGUUGGGGGCGAAUCUACGAGGAGUGAUGAGGUAGAUUUCAAGGCUUAUGUAUGUUGGAAGUUAACUAGACGUUAACUCAUAGUGCAAAAUUCCAAUACAUGUCAAAAUAAAGGGUUUUUUUUACUCGAGUAAAUUUUGUAGCAACACUUAAACACUAUCACAAAAAUAACGGAUCAAAGAGUGUAACCAAUAGAGAGAAGUCUUGGGGUUAUGCUAUUCUAGGUGGAGUCAUGCAUGGGUUGUGAUAUGCACGGGUGUCAACUAUUCAUCCAAGUUUAGUUAAGGAUUUUGGGUAGGCUACAUUUAGGGGUAUUGGUGUUAAUCUUUCAAAAAGACACCAAAUCUCACUUGUGGGUUCUUUCGAACAACUCACAAUUGUGUCAAAUCUACCAAUCCACUACGUCAAUUAACAUCCUUAUUUCUAUGAUGAUGCUAUUAAAUGAGCUAAAUCAAGUUAUUGUUCACAAUUGUUCCUUACCCAUAUCUCCUCUUGUAAGGAUAGUAUGGGUUCAGGGUUCCAUACCUAUAUUCCCUCUUUCAAGGAUGAUAUGGGUUCAAGGGUAAUUGGGGUUUUAAAUCCCCAAUUCUCAAUUAAACAUGGAGCAAAAGCAAAACCCAUCACAAAUAACCAAUUAAUUGGAUAUAUAAUCAACACCCAUGCAUUAAUCACCAACUAAUCAAGAAUAACCCCAAGAGAUAAAUUUAGAUACUCAUGAAAAUAAAGAGAAGACUUUCGCAAAUUAGCAUUCAAUUAAUCCAUGGAAAGCAAAAUGAAUAUAAACACAAAAUCUUCAAAUUCAAACAAAUAACCAAAAUCUUUCUUGGGAACACACCCACAAAUUGUUUUCACUCAAUAAUAGUGUAUUUUGCUCUCAGAACUCAGAAAUUAGAUGUUGGAAACGUGAAGGGUUCAACCUUUUAUAUCUUGAGAUUGAGCCUUGUGAAAUCUCAUUAUUGUUGUUACAAGUUUUCCCGAUACUCGCGAUAGGAACUCCUGCGAUCGCGGUACAUCAGCUCACGAUCGUAGUUUUUCCACUUGUUUCUCUCUCUCUCGCGAUCACGACCCUUAGAGUGCGAUAGCAACAUUUGAGGGUCGUAUCCUGGGGCCUAUCUUCAGCUUUUGUUCUUUUUACUCACUUUCCUUUUUUUUUCCAGCCUUGUCUCAAAUCUUCUUCAUCAGAUUUCCCUAUAAUAUCACGAACACUGGACAUUAGUGCAUUUCAUAUAAGAAUGUCUAAUGUAUGCAAUUAAAUCACUAUAAUGUGCAAGAAAUAAGAUAUAAAUGAGUGACAAAUUUUCCACCCAUCAACACCCCCAACUUAAAGACUUUGCUUGUCCUCAAGAAACACUACUUCACACUCUAUGAGACCAUCCAACUUUUAAGCUCACACUUUCAAUCACAUGGCCACCAUGAUUUUGAAUAUGAUUAGCUCUAACAAUUAGUCAACAAGCAUGGAAAACGGUAACUUUGCAACCCCCCUCAAAUUCAAUCACAUUUCAAGGAUGCAAAGAAAUUUUAAGAAUAAUCAAGCAACAACAACCAAUUCUCAAAAAGUGACUCUCCACCAAUAGCAAAUCAAAUAUGCUCAUUCUCCUUACUUUCGGAAUAUGUCAACUUGACCAAUCUAUUUUAGUCUAUAUGCCUCCUUAUGAAAGAACGUUUCAAUACACCAAAUUUUCAACAUACAACAAGGGGCAAAUGUGCAAGUACUCACACUCACAAAGAACUUCUAAAUGCACACAAGUAUCAUACCAUAUGUUUUCCCUUAUUUUCAAUUGCUACUAACUCAAAACACUUGGUUGGAGAUCCCAACGAACUUUUUCAAGCUUGUAAUGUAGGCUCAAAGAAGGGUAGGAUAAGCAUUUGGGAUAAAAGUGACUACACCCUCUUUGAACUCCUCAUAACACUAAUUAGAUCAAACAUGGAUCAUUGGCCACUCUAUUCAUUUCUAAAUCACACAUAUGCCUAGCUUUUUCACUUUAGUUCACUCACCUUUGGAAAACAUUCUCUUUUCAUUUUUUCCUUAAUGAAAUUUCAUGUUUUUUCUUUCUUUUUCCACCAUUCAUUUGCUUUUAGGCACUCGUUUAUAAAACAGUGGCACAAGAUCACCUCUUCCAAGAUCUGCCACCCCCAACUUAGGCUUUUAUCCUCAAAUUGGCACUUUCAAGUUUAAGAAGGGUAGGGUUCCAAAAAAAGGAUAAAUUUCAAACGAUUUGAGGCUUGUAACGUGGUUACCAAAGAAAGGUCAAUAGUCUCAAAAUGGUUACUAGGGAUACCAGCGGGUAAGAUUUUUAGGCUAAAGUGGUUUUCAACAAUCCCAAAGAUAGCCUAAGAUCAUUUCUCCAACCGCGCAUAAUUAGGAUUUUCUUUGAAAGACCAACAGGGCAAGUUCUUGAUGACACAAGCAAGCACAAGAAUCAAUUGAAUAAUACUCACCACACAUGGAAUGCGAACUAUUCUAGAAGGAUCGAUUGCAUUUCCUACUUAACAACAAAAGAAUUCAUUUUACUCAUUACCACUAACUAAAGAAUUCAGAGUCACAAAAAAAGGCAUAGCUUUGUUGCAAAAUCAUUCAAUUUCAUGCCCUUUAUUUUCAUAAAAAAAUUUGGACGGAUGAGGAUGCUCAUUAUUCACUUCACCAAGCAAGAUUAACUAUCCCUAGCACCAAGCAAGCCACCAUUUCGCAUUUGGGCUCUAAUAAGGGCAAUACUUAUGGAUACUUAGACUCCAACACCUCAACACGAAGGUUUUCUCUUAAGAAUAUUGUUACUCAAUAUAUCAUAGGGAAAGGCUCGUCCAACAUCACUAAAAAGAAAAAGAAAAAUAUAGAAAAAAAAUAUGCCUAAUCAAUAUAGAAAUGAAAUAUGACUAAUCCACAAUCCCUGAGGCACCAUAAGGGUACCCAAUAUUACAACUCAAAUUAUUAAAUUAUCCAAAUAAUACAAAUGUCCACAAGAAAUAACAACCAAAUAGUAACGCCUUGAGUCUGGUACCUAAGACGUUACACGGUGCUCAUAAUCCCGAAGAACCACAGCUAACCCUUGACUGAUAUUUGUAACUAAGAACUAAAUAAUACACUGUAAAAAUGUGGAAAACUGGCUAAAAACUUGCCAUAAGGUUCAAAAACUGAAAUACAAUUGAAAACUAAAUACUAAUAGAACUGUCUGAAUAUCUAGUCUGAAAGCCUCUAAACUGUCUGAACUGUGGAGUUGAUGGGAAAAUCCUCUAACUAACUCUGUCUACUAAAAUAUUAAAUCUAGUAAUAUAAUGAAAUAAUAGAACAUCCUCGAAUGAUGAGGACUCACUGCUAACUACUGCUGUUGGCAGAAUCUGGACUGCUAAGGGUGCUCUGGAGCUCGAGCUUCUGAACCUAUGGUAUAAAACACCACAGCGCAGAAAAGUAUGCGUUAGUACGAUGAAAUGUACUGGUAAGCUAGAUGAGGUAUACUGACUAAAUAAUCUGAGUAUACUGAAUGAGGAUACAUGCAUAAAUGCACAAACUAUAACUAAAAUUGUAAGAAUACUAAAUAUCGAGUUCAACUAACUGGAUUACUGAUAACUGGGUUUACUGAUGCUGAAUUCUAAAUACUAAUUUACUGACAUUUGAGUGUACUAACACCGGGAUACUGAAUAACUGAGUCUACUAAUAUUGAUCUCAGAGUUUUUCUAAUAUUGAUUGACUGUAUCUGAGAUCAGUCUUAUCUAGCGGGUGAUCUCUGAAUCUACUGAUACUGAUUCUGAUUGAUUGUACCUGAGAUCAGUCCUAUCUAGCGGGUGAUAUCUGAAUCUCUGGAUGAUGAAAAUGAUUGACUGUAUUUAAGAUCAGUCCUAUCUAGCGGGUGAUCUUUAAAUUCUAGGGAACUAUCUAAGUUCCUUACUGCGCUGAGUGACUGUAUCUAACAGUCCUGAUUUCUAUAAUACUGCAUUGAGUUUUAUUACUGAGACUGAAUUUGAAACUGAGACUGUGGGAGGUAGUCAUCUAAUCAACAUUCCACGAAUUUGAAUUAGUGGGUUCCAACCUGUAACCCCAGUUGGAAGGGUGUCAGUACCGUGCCACGAGUAAUGACAACUGCUAUGUGGCCAGUCCUAAUAUAGUGGGUGACCCCUAAGAUCAGUCCCGUACUAGCGGGUGAUCCCCGAGUAUGUCUAUCUAAUGGGUGACAUCUCAUGCCUACGCUGGAUACGUAGUUCUGGAACUUAGGGAUUGCUUCUAGGGAUCUCAGUCCUAUCUAGCGUGUAAGCCCCUAUCCCUAGGCUCGCUCGGUACUGAAUCCUACUCCCAAUUGAAAGACACUGAACUGAUUUCUUAGUUCAUACUAGGCUUGACUGAAUUGUUAUUGUUCAUACUGAUUAAUUAAACUGAACUGAUCUCACUGAGUUCCGUUGACUGACGGAAUACUACCGAAUUUUGUUAUCUGACUGAAUGCUACUGAGUUUCUGGACUGAAUACUUGAAUACUACUGAGGUCUGAACUGAAUACUGAACUGGAAUAGACUGAUACUGAGAUUAUUGAGUCUCUCUAAGUUUUGUAAUUGACGGAUUUCUACUAAUCAUGGCACGACUGAGAUUAUCUUAAAAACUGACAUUGGCUCUAGACAAUCAGCUAAAUUGUCGGGUAUUAAAUACCCCCAGGACUCGAUAACAUAAAUAAAUAAGGCAUCAAAUUCUUGAAUAACAUACAAUAGUCUAUCAGUCACAGUAAUAUCAAGGAGGCAUCUCUUCAAGCACUUGGAAGUCUUAAACAUGUAAACAUAUAGGGAUGCAUACCAAUGUCUCAGAGUUCAUUCAUUAAGGAAUGCACGUAAAUUGAAGUGCAUGUAACAUGUCAUAAUUCAUUCACUAAGGCCAUUCAACAAACACUUGCCAUGCAUUAACUUAUACAUAAUUAGGGAUUUCAUGCUAACAUGCUAUAAUGACUCUAUUUCCUUCUCAUAAGCAUUUUAUCAAACAUAUGGGGAGCAUACUUUGGUUACACAACAAUCAAUACAUCCAAUUAACAUGGCUACAACAAUAAACUUGCAACUUAAAGGGGUUUAUCAUGAACAUUAUGCAAAUCAUCACAUGCGAGGACUAAAUCAUGAAACUUCUAAUCUAGAACAUGAAUCAGAACUCAACAAUAACAUAAACAUGAACUUCAACUCACAUAAAUCAUGAAAAAUCAUAAAUAUUCAAUCUUUAUAAUUUUAAAAAGGUUCUUGAACUUCUUGGAUGGAAGGGACCCAAGAAUCAACAUCUAAUAUACCUUAGUUCUUGAUUUUAGGAAGAUUAGUGGAGAGACUCUCGAAUUUGAAUCUUCAAUUGAAAAAUCCUAACUUGGUCUAAAGAGAAAGUGAGAGAAACCACUAUAGUUUGGGUGAAAUAUGGUUGAAUCACGUGUUUUAGGGUUAUAUAAUAAUGGGAAAAAUAUUGAAAUAACCCUGGGGUCACAACUAUUUUAAUGACUGGAAAACUGGCUACCGACGCGUUGUUUAACGCGAUGCGUCGAUGCCAUCGAUGCGAUACCUGAUGCGUCGCAUCAUGAUCGGUUCGAGCCUCAGUUCUUUGAUUCUGGGAGACUGCAACAAUGUUAACCAAUGCGCUAGGCGACGCGGCGCGCCAAGAUCGCGUUGUUCUACUAUUUUGAGACCCCAAACGUGGUCUAAACGAGGUUCGAAAAAUCCGAAACUUAUCUAGGAACCCCUAUUGACAUCAUAAAUUAGCUAAAAUAUCAACUACCUAAGGUCGGGAAGGUCAUGAAAUAAAUCAUCAAAGUUCGAAGGCUUAUAAAAUGAAGAAGUUCUAACACUUAGCCAAAUUUUCUAAGUGUGAAGCUUCCCUUGAUAUGAUUUAAAGAGUUUUAACGACUAAAAAAAUUUGUGGGGUCUUACACAAAUCAUCCAAAUUUUAUAGACCAAAAUAUAAAAUAUGAAAUAUGGAAACAUGAGCACCCCCAACUAAAAGGUAUAAGUGUCCUCAUUGCAUAUCAUAAAACCAUAAAAGAGAUAAAUAGGCCCCCUGAAAUCUCAUCAUGUGCUACUAUCAGUCUCUAUCCCCUUAUCAGCAUAAUCUGAAUUUGGCUCCUCGUCCUUGGACCAUAUAGCCGGUAUCUCAUUAUCAACAUCCGCCCUUACAGAGGAAAGUCGUUCCUUUGGAUUUAGGACCUUCCACAAGCCCUUCACCCCUUUUCACAUUUGGGUAAAGAACUUGUCUCACCUCUUAUCCCUCCUCUUUAUUUUACCAAAAAAACUCACUCAGUUUUUACUGUGAUUGGGCCAAGGAUCUGUAGGCUAGCACCAGUCUGGAUAUGAUGGCCCCUUGCGCUUUUUGAUCUUCUAGGAUCCUUUCAUAGUCACUUUGAGAGACAUAGGUGGCACGACCUGUAAAAGACUCACCCAAGCAUGUGGGUUGUUUGGACACCAAGUCCCGAAAUAGCUGUAUCUGAAUAGACAGCUCCUAGAACGGCCCUGCUAUUGAUGGCCUGCAAGAAUCGAGAUAGUCAUUACCGACUUACCCAAAUCAAUCUUUUUCUUCUUGCGCUUUGAAGUUGUGCCUUCUCCACGCAUCGUUAAUGGGUAAAUUAGUGUCUUCAGGGGUAUCCAAUUGUCCCCUAAAUAUAUUUCAACCUCAGCCCUCUUUCAUAGUUGUCACAACCCGAACUAAGGCCUGGCCAUGAUGGGUAUCCCAAGUCCCUCGCAGACUGGAGACCACCUCCUGCACCUAGCCAAAUAAUACAAUAUCCCCAACAUCAGAUGAAUUUUAAACAUAUAACAAGAUAACGAAGGAUAAGAUCAAAGAAAUUUAAAAUAUGUCUAUAAUAGGCCACCGACAACCGGCUAAAUGACCAACCAAUAUUACCCAACUCCACAGUAAUCUAAUAAAAUCUUCUAAAAAAAGAACCAAAAACCAGUCUUAGCCAAGAUAUGUCCCUAACUCUGACAGAUGAAAAGGACAAUGAUAAUGUUAAUGAUUAUAUAAACUCUCAAUUCUAAUCUAUGAGAAGAAAUGAUGAAAUGUCUAAGCCUUCUGGAGAAUGAAAGCUCACCACUUCACCACAACGAACUAAUGAACCGAGCUGAUCCACCUAAUUCAGCAUAGGAAAGUAGAAGUAUCUCCAGUACCUACAUCGCAUAGGGAUACAACAUCUAGAGAUGAUUAGCGGUUAAAGCGCUAGCAUGUAACUUAGGGAUAAGAGAUAAAUAAUAUCAUGAUUAACAAUUCAAAAUCAGUCCAAAAUCCAAUGCACAUAAUCAUAAGCACACACACACACUUGCAUAUAUAUAUAUAUAUAUAUAUAUAUAUAUAUAUAUAUUUAUAUAUAUAUAUCAUAUACCGAGGUAGGGAUUAACUCUUAGAAUGCAUUUUAAAUCUUAGCCUGAACUGUGUAACACAAUCGACAUAACAUAAUAAGUCACCCACGAGCUAUAUGGGCCCAGCUCUCCCCUAACUGGUAGGGCCUCAGUGCGUGUAGCCGCAUGAACUAGAAGGUAUACAUAUGUACUAUGGGGGACUCAAACCUCCCGGCAUAUCAAGGUGGCAUAAGCACCCAAUCAUAUAAUAUAAUAUGAGGGAUUCGAACCUUUCAAUCAUAUGAUAAUAGUAAGGGGGACUCGAACCACCCGAUCAUUUAGACCCCCUCGUCGGCAACUGCGGUUUUCAGUAUUGGUCCCUCGGGACCUCCACUUUUAUGAAUCAGCUACAUAGCCUUCUUUUAAUCCCAAUUAAAACAAUUAACACACAUUCUCAUUCAUUGAACCAUGAUACACAUUUAGGCAUACAUUUUUGGUAUUGUCAUACCAACUACACUUGUAAGGUAACACCAACAUGCCAAAACAAUUUUGUUAAUUAGGGAAUUCAUAUCCCCUUAUUUCAAUUAUACAUUAACUUGGGGAACUACACAACUCCAUAAGGUUUAAUUUCAAAAUCAUUAUGAUCCAUUAACCUUUCUCAUUAUGCAAUAAUUCAAGAGUAGUUCUAUGUGCAUAUUUUUCAUAUUCAAAAUCCAUUUCACAAUAUGAGGUUGAGGUCAUAACCACUUCAAAAUUCACAAGUUGGGGAAAAUCACAAUCCCCUAGUCUAUGCACCAUACCCAUGCACCCCACAAGUUCAAAACCAAAAUUAAAGCAUAAACAUUCAUGUGUAAACCAUAGGAAACGCUAGUCAAUAACAAACAUUCAAAAACCUCAACCCAUGUUUCAAAACCAACAUCAAUACCAUAUGAACAACACUUCAGAACAUAUGUUUUUUACAAAUUAGAAAUUUGGGAAGAGUAACAUGCCUGAAAUACCACGUUUCAAGAAAGAAUUCAACCCUUGAGCCCUUGGAUGACCUACUUCUUGAAAAUCCUAAAUAUGUUACAUACGAGAUUUGAGAGAGUUAUGAGAGUGUUUAAUAAUGUUAUCAAUGAGAAAUAACCCCCUUGAGUGCUUUAUGAAUGUGGGGUUUUAAUUGGGUAAGAACGAAAUUGUCCACGGUUCCCUCAAGUUAAAAGCUGAAAUUUAGUAGUUAGUGUUUACGGGCCAUUAUAUGACUUGUAAGGUUUCAUUACAACUCGUCACCAUGAGUCAUACCUAAGACAGUCUCUAGGGCACUCAUGCUCUGUUGACCCUAUGGCUCAACUAAUACAACUCAUAAUGGUACCCUACGACUCAUAGGGUUUAGUCAUAGUCAACAUAGAACCCACUUGGGGUAUACACUGGACAUCCUACGAUUUGCUUUCAAUGACUCGUAUGAGUCUUUACGACUCUUAGUGAGCCACUUGUACUCAGAGCAAAAAUUAGUCAUAAAUACUAUUUUAGUUAUGAUUAGGUCCAACAACUUGUCAAGACUCCCUACGACUCGUAGGGUAAGUCUUAGCCUAAAAAGUGAGGAUAAAAUUUCAGAAAUUUUCAAGGAGCAAAAACCCAGGGUGUUAAAUACUCCCCGCCUUAGGAUAAUUCAUCCUCAAAUGACAGGACGAGGAAUUUAUUAGCAUGAUUUGACUCCAAACGCAACCACACUUACCUUUAACAAAGACAAAAAGUAAAAAUAUUAAGAAAUAUACAUACCUCAACCACGAUUAUACAGAACGAGAAACAAGAAUAGAUACUUGGACUUCAUGUCCUCCCCGACUUCCCAAGUAGCUUCCUCAAUCUUUUGAUUUCUCCAAACAACCUUUACCGAAGCCACAUCCUUAGUCCGCAGCCGACGGACUUGCCGAUCCAAAAUCUUAAUUGGAACUUCCACAUAGGACAAGGAAUUAGAAAUUCCCACCUUUUCCAAGGAAACGAUCGUCGAAGGAUCACCCACACACUUCUUUAUUAUCAAAACAUGAAACACCAAAUGAAUGGAGCUCAAACUAGAAGGCAACUCCAAUUAAUAUGCAAUAUUACCAACCCUCUUCAAAACUAAGUACGGACCAACAUAGCGGGGAUUGAGUUUCCCCUUCCUUCCAAACUGCAUCACCCUCUUCAUGGAAGACACCUUCAAGAAUACCCCAUCACCAAUAUUAAAUUCCAAUCCCUUUGCCUCAUAUUUGCGUAGGACUUUUGGCGACUUUGGGCGGUCUUAAGCCUAUCCCAAAUCACCUUAACCUUAAUCAUGGCUUGGUGAACCAAAUUAAGGCCAAAUAUCUUAUUUUCAACAACCUCAAACCACCCAAUUGGAGACCUACACUUCCUACCAUACAAUGCCUCAAAUGGAGCCAUACCAAUACUAGAGUGAUAAAAAUAUAUUGUACGCAAAUUCUAUGAGAGAUAAGUGGUCGGCCCAACUACCACCAUGAUCAAAUACACAAGCCCGAAGCAUAUAUUCCAAGGCCAAAGUUAUCCUUUCCGCUUGCCGAUCUGUUUGCGGGUGGAAAGCGAUACUAAGGGUUACCUUAGUCCCUAAACCUCACUGGAAUAACCUCCAAAAGUGAGAUGAGAACGGAGUACCUCGAUUAGAAAUGAUAGAAACUGAUGUACCAUGCAACUUCACUAUCUCUUAGAUAUACAACUUUGCAUAUUCCUCAGCAGAGAAAUUAGUCCUCACUGGAAAGAAGUGAGCAGACUUAGUUAUCCUAUCCAUGAUGACCCAAAUCAAAUUAUAUUUUUGGCGAGACCACGAAAGACCGGUAACAAAAUUAAUAUUAAUUAUUUCCCAUUUCCACACCGGUAGCUCAAUCUUAUGAGUUAACCUAUGGGGUCUCAACUUCUUCACCUCCACUUGCUGAUACACCAAGUAUUUAGCCACAAAAUUGGCCACAUACCGUUUCAUAUUAUUCCACCAACAAAUUUUCUUGAGAUCAUGAUACAUUUCUGUUGAACCAGGAUGAACCGUAUAACCUGACUCAUAAGCUUUGGCCAAAAUUCUUUCUCGCUACCCAUCAACAUCGGGAAAACAUAAUUUACCUUGGUACCUCAAGAUACCAUCACCAUCAAUCUCAAAAAACAUCAUUUUUUGCCUACUCACAUCAUUCUUGAUUUGCAUCAAGAUAGGAUCCGACAUAUGCUUAUCCUUCAUUUCACUUCCCAGGGAUGACUUCGCCACCUUUUAAACAACCACACUACCAUUCUCAAAAUCCAUGAGACGGACUUCUAGAUUAGCCAAACGAUAAAUAUCUUUUACCAAAUCUCACUUCCCCUCGUCCAUAUGAGAUAAGCUUCCCAUGGAUAACCUGCUAAGAGCAUCAACAACCACGUUAGCUUUACCAGGAUGAUAAUGGAGACCCAUGUCAUAGUCUUUUAGCAACUCAAGCCAUCUCCUUUGCUUGAGAUUCAAUUUUUUUUAGUAAACACGUGUUGCGGGCUCUUCUGAUCAGAAUAAAUAUCUACAUGGACCCCAUACAAAUAAUGUUGCUAGAUCUUCAAUACAAAUACCACAACUAAUAAUUCCAAAUCAUGAGUUGAGAAAUUCUUCACAUGAACCUUUAACUGUCUAGAAACAUACACAACCACCUUGCCAUGCUGCAUCAACACAACCCAAUCCCACUCAGAAUGCAUCAUAAUAGACCAUAAAACCAUCAGUACCCUCAGGUAGAGUCAAGACCGAAGUCGAAGUCAACUUAACAUUCAACUUCUCAAAAAUACCCUCACAAGCAUCAGACCACAUGAACUUCACCUUCUUCUGAGUCAACUUAGUUAAUGGGUCAGCAAUAGAAGAGAAUCUUUCCAAAAGCCUUCUAUAAUAACCAACUAAACCCAAAAAGCUCCAAAUAUCGAUUGGAGUCAUGGGUCUAGGCUAUUUUUUAACCACCACAACUUUUUAUGGAUCUACCAUGAUCCCUUCACUAGAAACAACAUGACUUAGAUAGGUCAUAACAUUUAAUCAAAACUAACAUUUAAUCAAAACUCACACUUAGAGAAUUUCGCAUACAAUCGUUGAUGUUUUAAUGUUUUCAACACAAGAAGAAGGUGAUCAGCAUGAUCCGACUCACUCUUUGAAUAAACCAGAAUAUCAUCGAUAAACACAAUCAUGGACAAAUCCAAAAAACUGAUGAAAUACCUGAUUCAUGAGAUCCAUAAAUACUUUUGGGAUAUUACUCAAACCAAAUGACCUCACCAAAAACUCAAAACGACCAUACCGGGUUUGGAAAGCAAUCUUAGGGAUAUCCACCUCCCUAAUCUUCAACUGAUAGUAACCCGACCGAAGAUCAAUAGUAGAAAAGAACUUACUACCCUGAAGCUGAUUGAACGGAUCAUCAAUCCUAGAAAGAGAUUACUUAUUCUUCAUAAUCACCUUAUUCAAUUGGUGGUAAUCCAUACACAUCCAAAGAGAACCAUCAUUCUUACACACGAAUAGAACUGGAGCACCACAUAGAGACACACUAGGGUGGGUAAAAAACUUAUCCAGAAGAUAUUUAACUGCUUCUUGAGUUCGUUCAACUCAGUCGGAGCCACCCUAUAAGGAGGAAUAGAAAUAGGAUGAGUGUCCGGAAAAAGAUCAAUCCCAAAAUCAAUUUCCCUAUCGGGAGGAAUACCGGAAAGAUCAUCAGGGAAUACCUUGACAAAUUCACAAACCACAAGGACAGUCUAUAAAGAAGGACCUUCGGAUCUAGAAUCCUUAACCUGCACUAAGUGAUAGAGGAACCCUUUAGAAACUAAUUUUUAGGCCCAAAGAUACGAAAUAAACUUUCCCUUAGGCACUAGGGAACUACCUUCCCACUCAAUCACUGCUCAUUAAGGAAGUGGAAACUGACCCUUUGGGUCCGACAAUCAAGACACACGUAGCACGAAUGCAAUAAAUCCAUCCCCAAAAUCACAUUAAACUCUACUGUGUUCAACUCUAUCAUAUCAACCAAGUUCUCUCUACCAUAAACCAACAUCACACAACCCCUAUAGGCCCUUCUAGCCAUAAUAGAUUCACCCACCGAGUAUACACAAAGAAAGGAUCUGGAAUACACUCUGGAUCAAAAUCAAAAUAGAUAGCCACAUAAGAGGUCACAUAAGAGAGGGUAGACCCGAGAUUAAGUAAAAAAUAUACAUCAUGAGAUAGGAGUUUAAGAAUAGCAAUAAUAACAUCGGGGGAUGCCUCAGAAUCCUAGCGAGUGGAAAGCAUGUACAAAAAGUUAUGACUAGUGCCGGAGCCAGAAAUGAAAGUAGCACCCUUUGGUGCGAGAGCUGAUGAAGUAGCAACAAGAAUGUUAUUUGGCCCAAAAGCAGCCUUAGAAGGACAAUCCUUCUGCAUAUGGCCAACUUGACCACAUUUAAAGCACUUGUUCCUCCUCUCUUCACAAAUACCAUUAUGCACCUGACUAUAAAUUCUACACAAAGAAUAUGAUGGAGCUGACUGAGCCCCACUAGCAUGAGACUGGGCACCCUGUGCCCUGGGACCAAUACUAUUUUGAAAAUAAUGAUCACCCGAUGGCUUUAUAUAAGGAUCACUAGCCGUAGAGUAGGAACCAAAAUUACCCCACUUCUUCGUAAACCACUUUCUACUGUCUUUACCACUCUACUGAUGACCUCCACCCUGACCCAAAUAUUGAAACUUCUUAUUUUGCCUUUCACUCACCUCUGCAUGCUUUUUAUUUUUCUUUUUCACUUAUUGCAUAUACACUACAAUUCUAGAGAUAUCCAUAUCCUUAUUCAACAAGGCAGCCUUGCUCUUAAAGAUUAAAUCAUGGGACAACCCAGAGGAAAACUUUCUCAUUCUAACCCUCAUGAUAGACACCAAUUUGAAGCAUAAUGUGACAGCUAGUGAAACUUCAAGGCAUACUCCUUUACUAUCAUCCUACAUUACUUCAAAUUUAUAAAUUCCUCAGCCUUCACCUCCCUCAACUCUUGAGGAAGGAAGUAAUUAAGAAAAGUACUAGAGAAGUUGCACCACAAGCAGACUCAGCAUCAUCGCCCCUAAGAUGCUCCAACUCUACAUGUCAUUGGUAUGUUACACCCUUCAACUAAUAAGCAAUGAACUUUACACCCUCCACAUCAGUAUCAUGUAUCACACGAAAGAUCUUUUCUAUCUUAUCAAUGAAAUUUUGAGAAUCUUUCUCAAACUUAUAACCAGUGAAAGAGAACUCGGCCUCAUAAAUUGGCCAACUCUAAUGACCUCAGAGGUUGGAAAGAUAGAAGCAACACACUCAGUCUGGGAUGCCACCAACUAGGUAAGCAAAUAAAUUGACUAGAAAAACUCAGCAUUAGAAAUAUUAGUUUGAGGUGCAUGAGAAAGGAUAGCGAAAUCGAUGGAGCUCCAUUUGGGCAAUUACAAGCAGCAACCCUAGACCGGGUUUAAACUCCUAGAGCAGGAUGAGCUCUAUCUACAUUGUCCUCAAAUGGGAUAAAAGAGUUUCCACGAGAAUCUAAUCUUCCCGGAGGCAUGAUCUAAAAAGCGAACAUACGGGACUUAGAGUAGAUUGAAGACCUUAGACUCUAUAGGUCAAAAUAGAACAACAAAAAAGGGAAACAUUCCUAAAUGCCUCGUAUCCUCACCCUUAUAAGUGUGGCAUGCUACACACCCAUAAAAGAAACUCUACUUGACACGAUUUUAUGGACACCCACUGACACCAAACCUAUACUCUGAUACCAUCUUUAUCACGACCCAAACCAAGGCCCGGCCAUGACGGGUAUCCAAAGUCCCUCGUGGACUAGAUACCACCCCAUAAACCAAGCAAAACCACAUAAUAUCUUAAACAUCGAAUGACCUUUAAACAUUUAAUAAGUUAGAAAAAAUAAGCUCAAAGAAAUUUAAAACAUGUCUAUAAUCAACCAAACGACCUACAAAUAACAUCCAAGUUCACAGUAAUCCAACAGAGCCUUCUAACAAAAGAACCAAAAACCAGUCUUGAUCGGGACAUGUCCCCGACUAUGACAGAUGAUAAGGAUAAUUAUAAUGUUAAUGAUAAUGUAAACUCUCAAUUCUAUCUAUGAGAAGAACUGAUAAAAUGUCUAAGCCUUCCAGAGAAUGAAAGCUCACCACAAUGAACUAAUCCAAUACACCUAAAUCUACAUAUGAAAAGUACAAGUAUCUUCGGUACCUACAUCGUAUGAGGAUACAAAUUUGAAAACAGUUAGCGAUUUGAGCGCUAGUAUGUAGCUCAGGGAUAGGGGAUAAAAUAAUGUUAUCAUUAACAAUUCAAAAUCAGUCCAAAAUACAAUACCCAUAAUAAGUGUUGGGUCUGGGAUCAAGGCUUAGCAUGUACUUCAAAUCUUAGCCUGGAUUGUGUAGAUCAACCAUCAUAACAUAAGAAGGCACCCACAAGCUAUAUGGGCCCAUCUCUCCCCCAGUUGGUAGGUCCCCAGUGCAUAUGACAGCACAAACCAAAAGGUGUACAUAUGCACUAUAGGGGACUCAAACCUCUCGACGUAUCAAGGCGACACAAGCAUCCAAUCACAUAAUAUAAUAUGGGGGACUCGAACCUUACAAUCAUAUGAUAUGAGGAAGUAAACCACCCGGUCAUUUAUACCCCUGCAUCGAUAAUUACGGUUUCUAGUAUUGGUCCCUCGGGGCCUCCACUUUCACGACUCACCUAGAAAAAGACCCAAUUAAAAUAAUUAACACACAUUCCCAUCCAUUGAACCAUGACACACAUUUAGGCAUACAUUCUUGGUAUUUUCAUACCAACUACACUUGCAAGGUAACGCAAAUAUGCCAAAAUAAUUUCAUUAUUUGGGGAAUUCAUAGCCACUUGGUUCAAUUAUACAUUAGCUUGGGGAAUUACACAACCCCAUAAGGUUCAAUUUAAAAAUCAUUAUGCUUCAUUAACUUUUCACAUUAUGCAAUAGUUCAAAAGUAGUUCAAUGUGCAUAUUUUUCAUAUUCAAGACCAAUUUCACAAUAAGGGUUUUAGGUCAUAACCACUUCAAAAGUCACAAGUUAGAGAAAAUCACAAUCCCCUAGUCUAUGUACUAUACCCAUGCACCCCACAAAUUCAAAAUCAAAAUUAAAGCAUGAACAAUCAUGUGUAAACCAUGGGAAAUAUUAUUCAACAAUAAGCAUUCAAAACCCUCUACCCAUGUUUCAAAACCAAUAUCAAUACUAUAUAAACAACACUUUAAAACAUAUGAUUUUAAUAAAUUAGCAAUUAGGGAAGAGUAAAAUGGUAGAAAUACGAAGUGUCACGGAUAUAAUUCAACCCUUGAGCCCUUGGAUGACCUACUUCUUAAAAAACCUAAGUAUCUUGCUUGAGAGAUUUGAGAGAGUUCUGAGAGAGUUUAAUUACGUUAUCAAUGAGAAAUAAUCCCCUUGAGUGUUUUAUGAAUGUGGUGUUUUAAUUGGGUAAGAAGGGAAUUGUCCAAAGUGCCCUAUAAUUAAAAGUUGAAAUUUAGCCGUCAGUGUCUACAGGUCAUUAUAUGACUCGUAAGGUUUCAUUACGACUCUUCACCAUGAGUCAUAGACAAGACAGUCUCCAAGGCACUCACACUCUAUUGACCUUAUGACUCAACUAAUACAACUUAUAACGCUACACUACGACUCAUAGACUCUUGUCGUAGUCAAUACACAACUCAUGUGGGGUAUAACUGGAUAUCCUACAAUUUGCUCCCAAUGACUCGUAAUGAGUCUUUAUAACUCUUGGUGAGCCACUCGUACUCAGAGCAGAAAUUAGUCACAUAAAUACUAUUUUUGGUUAAUAUUGGGUCCAACGACUUAUCAAGACUCCCUACGGCUCGUAGGGUAAGUCGUAGCCUGGAUAGUGAGGAUAAGAUUUUAGAAAUUUUCAAGGACCAAAAACCCAGGGUGUUACAAUAGUGCAGUGAUCAGGAAAAGAAACAUUAGCAUGGGGUCGCCUUGGUUCUUGUAGUGUUUGAGCUCUGCAAACACAAAGAAAUCAAUAUUUAAACGAAUGUUUCUAGGAUGCAAGAUACCAUCUAGGCUGCAUAAUAGGGAUAUUUGUCAUAUUGGUGCUUGGAGAGACACAACUACAGAUAAUUAUCAACCAAAUUUGAGUUUUUUCCAUGAACUCAUUUAAGGUGAUCCCUAUUUUUAUGGAGGCUCAUGGGAUUCCUCUUUCUACGCAUAGCUGUGAGACUAGCUAGCUCCCUUGGGCAUAAUCUUUAACCUCGAACUCUCCUGGGUAGGCAUCCGGUAGCCCAUAUAGCUUAUUGAUUGCUUCAUUCUCAAAGUUCACCACCUUACCCCUAAUCAUCAUGGCUAGGUUGCAUAGACUUACAGCUUUGAGGUUGGCGUAAAACUCCGGCACCCAUUGUUCAUUGGCUUUGCAUGGGUUCGAGGCAAAACAUCUCCAGUACCUACCCAGUAAUCUCCGAUAGAAGGCUGGGAGUUUGUCGAGCACUUACUCCAAUGAGAUACCCUACUCAAGGAAUAGUUUCUUAUGGUCCAGAUCCUCAUAGUAUACAGUCUGAUAGCUAGCUAUGAGGAGGGGAGUUUGGUCGAAAUUUGCCAUGUUUAGCUUUUUGGAAACCUAAAAACAACACACAAGCAUUAACCAUCAAGAUCAUCAUGUGAAAACAAUGUUAUGUUACUGAGUAAAGCUAAAGAAAUGGCUCAAGGAUCAUAUUAGGGCUUAAAAUAAAAAUUCAGGAUUUUGGGCAGGUUUGUCAGACAGGCCUUAUAUCUCGCGAUCACACUCUGGCAAGUCGUGAUUGCAACACCUGAGGCUUCAAUAUCGCAGACUUGUUCAAAUUUAAAUUUGUAAUUUCUACCCUAAUUUGUGUUCAUAAAAGAUGUACAAAACUAAAAACAAGGAUCACACUUCAUAAUCACACAAGAAUGCCCUCUAAAUCAUAGAAAAAAAUAUCAAGAGUUUUAUUUGGAUAUUUUACCAAACACUUGAUGUGCACUUUGAAUUAUCACUUAUUUUGGGAAAUUUUUUAUUACUCAAGACUUACCCAAUCAAUUGCACAUCAACAACAUCAAUCACAUAAUAUACUAUCAAUCUACGCUCUAAUUAUGCAAGAAAACCAUAACUUAAGUUUAGACCCUAUUCAUGCUUCCAAGGCUCAAAUUUAAGCAUUAAAAAGGAGAAUUGAAGGCUAUACCUGAGAUUUGGAUGCAAAUGAGAAUGAUUAGCACUUUUAAAAUCAUUUGGAAGUGAUAAAAUUUGAUGGAUUUUGAUAUUUUAAAGUAGGGUGUGCAGUGGAACCAUUUUGGAGAUGGUUCUUUUUUAUAAUUGCCCUGAUCACGACUGCGAUCCACCAGGCCGUGAUCGCGAUAUUUGAGGCUAUGUUGGGAAGUCCUGAGCCUCUGGAUCGCAAUUGUAAUUUGAGUGUCAUGAACACUAUACCUAAGACCAGGUUUAAUUCCUUCGAUUCUACUCCACUUUUUGUCUCCUCACUUGUUCAAAUCACCUUCUAAGUUCAAAGAUUUUGUGGACUAACCAAAAACAAAAAUCCUAACUUAUUCUGACAACCAAAAAUUCAAAUGAUAUAUGCCAAAUUUAUGGCAAUGAUGGGUUGCCUCCUAUCUAUCACUUGAUUUAACAUCGCGACACGAUGUCCUCUUAGGAUCAAUUUGGAACUUUUACCUAAAUUGACCAUCCCCACAUUCCAUAUCAACCAGGGCUCUUUUGGUGGCUAAAAAUGGACUACUAAGAAUGAUAUGUGUUUCAUGAUCAAUUUAACAAUCGAGGAUCACAAAAUCAGCUAGAAGAAUAAAUCGGUCAAUCUUUACCAACAUAUCAUAUAACAUGCCCAUGGGUUUCUUGAUCGAACGGUCGACUAUUAAAAGCCUCAUGGUGGUGGGUGUAAGAGAAACCAAUCUUAACUUUCAAAAUAUGACAUAAACAUCAAGAUAAUACUUUUUCCAAGAUCACACAUGCCUUUUUAAAUCUAUACACCCAAAUAGUGCAUGGAAUGGUGAAUGCACUCGGGUCUUCUUUCUUUUCCUUCAUUGUGUUUGACAUUAUAGAGCUGCAAUUAUGAGUCACCUAAAUAGUUUUACAAUCCACAAGUCAUUUUUUGGGGAUCAAGUUCUUCAUGAGUUUAACAUACUUCGGUAUGUCUUGUAGAGCUUCAAUUAAUGGAAUGUUUAUCGAUAGGUUGCUAAACUUUUCAAAAAGCUUUUUGAACUUUGUAUUAUCAUCUUUCUUCUUAAGCCUUUGUAGGAAGGGGAAGGACUGUUGACUGGUGGUAAUAGAGAAAUUGUAGGUUCAUUCACCUUUGGCACAUCACCGUUGAUCAUUUUAGGAGUUUCCUAAUCGUUACCUUUUAUUCAACUACCAUCUGUUUCUCAACAACUGCUUUAUUGGAGUUAGGAGCAUCGUCACUUGGAUUUCCUAGCUGUUUUCUUAUUGAACUUGCUUGUUCAUCAUGUGACUUUCCAUUGGGAUUCUCACCAAUCUCAGCCAUAUCUUCACCAAGAGUUCGUCUACUUCUAGUGACGAUGGCUAUGACAUGAGCAUCAUUUUUGGGGUUGACCACCGUGUUACUAGGUAGACCUCCUUUUAACCUAGCAUUGAGUUGAGUUGAGAUUUGACCUACUUGCAUUUUUAAUUGCUUAAUGCAGUUCGAAUAAGAGGUAACUAUUUAGGUUAACUGAGAAAAAUCACCCUUUAGCUCUCACACUAUGUUAUCGGUACCUUCUACAUGCAUUAAAAUUCGGGCAAGAACAUCUUUGGUUUUGAAUUUCUCUGGAUCCACAGAGCUUGACUCCUUCUCCUUGGGCCUCUUAUAAGAGGGAAUAUACCAAUCACUGUCUCUCUCUUUGUGUCUCCACUCUUGGACUCUAUCACUUUCUCUAUCCCUACAAUCUUUAUCCCGAUCUCGAUCCUUCCAACGUUGGUUUUCGCCUUGAAUUUGAUAGGUAGGGCGGGAACUCCCCAACUGGUUUGACAAGAACCUAAUAUACUUAUCAAUAUUCUCCAAUUCUUCAUCAUCAUAAUCCCUAGUACGCUUGGAAGAAAUAACAUUGACCACUUUAGGAGGGCCCCUUAUCACAUGUUUAGUAAGAAGGUCAAGUUGGGUCAUCUCCUUGGUCAUAUUCUCAUCCCUUUCAUCAUCUUUCUUAUUUUGCUCUUUGUGUAAAAAAGAUAUUGCGGGGUACCCCACGGUCACCUCGGUGUCCCUCGUAUACCAUUCUCUAUUAUGCUUCACUUGAUCUAAUAAAGUUACUCAACACCAUAAGAUAACUUGACACAAGAACCUCCGACCGCAUCAUCAACCAUCAUUUUGUUCAGUUGAUCUAAUGCCCUAUAGAAAAUUUGGAGAAGCAUUUUAUUGGACACCUUAUGAUUUGGGAAUUGCAUCAAUUUGUCAUUGAACCUUUGCCAAACUUCAUACAAUCGUUCGCCACUAAGUUUGCAAAAUCUUAUGAUAUCAUCCCUUAGUUGCAACAUUCGAGAAAAAGAAAAGUAUCUUUCCAAGAAUGCAUCGGUGAGCUCAACCUAAGAGGUGAUAGAUCUUGCGGGUAAAGCCGCAACCAUAGAACCGCUUCUCUAAUGAGAAUAGAAUAAGUCACAACCGAAUUUACUCUUGAGAAAUAUGGGCAAUAACAUAUAAAGAGCACACCUCAAUGAAAUUUUUCAAGUAUAGAUUGACAUCUUCAUGUGCUUGUCCUCAAAAUAACCCCUCCAUAUUUGAAGUAAAUGGAGCAUCACACUAGUGACAUGAAAUAGUCCAUUCCCUUCCGCCGGUGGAAUACGGAUGGCACUAGCAUGCCCCACAUCCCCAAGAUGAUCCAUAUCCUUAAGAUGUCCCUCAAAAGAGCCAUCAUUACCCCAUGUUGGCUCAUGGUAUCGUGAAUUCUAUUAUAAUUACCUAACAAAAGAUAAAAAUAAUAAAUAAUGUAAACUAAAAUUGAUGAGUCAUUGGGUGGUUGAUUUUUGAGUAAUGGGCUUAACCCAAUCUACUUAACAAAUGAUCAUUAUUGAUACAAUUUUUUUUUUAUUGAAAUGUAUGUCGUACUUUAAACUUAGCAAAUGAUCAUUCUUGGUACAAAAAUUUUUUUUAUUGAAAUGUAUGUUGUACCUUAAAAAUUAAUUUUUUUUGGGUCUUUUUUAAUGAUUGAGCCGAGUCUUUCGAAAUGUUUGUUGUAUUUUAAAAAUUAUUUUUCUGAUCUUUUCUGCGCUUGACAUGUGUACUUCGCUGAGAAAUCCCAACUCCCUAUUUUAUCUUUUGAUAAUGUUUUCCUGUUACAAAAAACAGUAUUUAAUUACAAAAUGCUUAUAAAAAAUAACACGAGACUACAAAAUGCUUAUAAAUUUGUCUAAAAAUUAUGACUUGUAUUUGAAUUAUUAGUUGAUGUGCAAUAGACCAAUGAACCAUUGCAAUAGUAUCAAAAAUAGUUGCAAUAAAUAGUUAAAAAAUAUUGCAAGAGACUAACAAACCAUUGUCAUAUGUAAUUAACAAUCAUUGCAAGAGACUAAUAAAUCAUUACAAUAGCUUACUAAAAUAGUUUCAAUAGGUAGUCAAAAAAUAUUGCAAUAGAAUAAUAAACCGUUGCAAUAGGCUUUCAAAAUAGUGGCAAUAGAUAGACAAAAAUCGUUGCGACUUAAUAAUAAAACUGUUGCAAUAGGAUUUAUUGCAACGGUUUAACGUUGUUGCAAUAGAUGCUAUUGCAAUGGUUAGGAUCCAUCGUUAUCAAUAAAAAAAAUGUUCCAACAGGAGAAAAAAUAACUGUUACUAUAGGUUAAUCUAUGAUGAUGAUUUUCGCAAAUUGUCGCAUAAAUCGUUACCAUAUCUCUAUCCCUACACUCGAAUAUCAAACAUAUGCUAAUAUUGCAAUAGAGAUAUAACAAUGAUCCUCUUAUAUAUUACAAUAUUUUUUAAAUUAUUGUCAUAGAGAUAAUUUUUAGUAGUGCGCUGAGCUAAAGAUGGUCUGCUUCACAAUAGAUAAAGUAGAAUUGUCUACUUGUGAAUCUUGCCUAAUUGAAAAACUGUAAGAAAAUUAUUUGAAAAAGGUACAAGAGUUGAUAGUCCAUUGCAAUUAAUUUAUUUUGACAUUUGUGGUCCAAUGAAUGUAAGGACAAGAUGUGGUGUUAUUUACUUCAUCACUUUUAUUGAUGAUUUUACUUGUUUUGAUUAUGUAUAUUUCAUUUCUCUUAAAUCUGAAGCUUUGAUUUGCUCCAUUAAGUUUAUGAACUUAGUUGAGAUUCAACUGAACAGAAAAUUAAAGUAAUAGAACUGAUCGAGAAAAAGAGUAUUUGUCUGAUGAGUUCAAAUGAUUAUGUGAUAAAAAGAAAAUUCAAAGACAUUUAACUACUCCAUAUACUUCAGAACGAAAUGAUGUUGCAGAACGAUGAAAUAGAACGGCGUUAGAAAUGGUCAGGUCAAUGAUGGCACAAGAAAAAAUGCCUAUCACCUAUUGGAUGAUGCAUCGCUCACUGUUGCGUUUGUACUUAAUUGUGUCAAUCCUAAAUUAGUUACAAAUACACUGUCUGAGUUAUGAAAUAAACAAAAGUCUAAAGCUUUGGAGUUGUGCUGCUUUUAUUUAUAAAUGUUUUUCCCAAUAUAAAAAAUUAGGCUCAAAGAAAAAGAAGUAUAUCUUUAUAAGAUACUCUGAACAAUCUAAGAAUUAUCAUAGGUGAACUAGAUAGAGACACUGUAACUGAAAUUGAGCCGCGUGAUAUUAAAUUCAUAGAUAAUGAUUUUUCUAAGAAGGGCGAGAUAGGUCAAGACUUAUCUCUUUAUAAAACUAUGAACAAGACUACUUUUGCACCAACUUUCAAAUAGAUUGAAAUGGGAGUUAUGCUAAUAAUAAUGGAUCGAUUUUUAUUUUUACAAGUUCUAAUAAUAUCGUUGGUCCGAGUGGGAUAUCUUUUAUGUGGUGUACAUAAAUUUUUUAGGAUAAAAAAGUAUGUCAAAUAGGUAAAAAGAUUGAUCUAUUCACACAAGCAGUUAACUAUAUUGUCUAAGUGACAAGCAGAAAUGAGACAAUUAUAAAUUUACUAUUGCCAGAAGUGAUGAUAAAAGAGAGCUGAAAGAUUAUAAUCAAAAUGUCAUUUGUUAGAUUGUGUUUAAUCAUAUGUGAUUAAAUUGAGUUUGUUUGUUUGUAAUAUCAAUAUGAGUUUUGAAGAAUAAAAUAAUUGAGUAGAUUUAUGAACUCAAUAAAUAUGAGUUGUCUGAACUAUCAUCUGCGUAGUAUUUAAUUUAUAGAAGACAUAUUCUCCAUGAAAAAUGAGUUAGUACUGUGAUACAUGUUAUAAGUUUAGUCUCUAUUUGCUAUCAUAUGAAGUUCUGGAAAUUAUAAGUAAUUUUUUACAUUGUACCUUCACAACUUUAAUCAGUUUUUUGAUAUUCAAUUUGUUUUUGCUAUCUUAUUAGUAUAUUGUUAGGAAAUCAUGGUUGAUACGAUUUGACGGGACAUUUUUAAAAUAACAUAUCACGUUGAGAUUGAGAGAUUCAUGAUAUGAGGAAGAUAUUAGAUAUUAUCACAUUAAUUGUGUUCAUUGGCGUUCUUUAUGUUUGUCUGUGAGAUGAGUAUGUAAUGAUGAACUCAAAAUUAAGAAAAAGAGAUGAUGAGAAAUAUGAAUAUGAUAAAUGAUCUAGGGUAUUGCAUACUACAAUCUACUUUAAAUUUUAUUGAAUGAGAUGUUGUAUAUUCUUAACAGAUGUAUAGCAACGAAGCUCUCAAAGUAUGCAUUGGUCACACGGUCUAGUCGUAAAGUAUGAAUGUUACAGAAUAGGAAUGAGAGUUGACCCACAAUAUGUGAGUGGGAGAUGAAGAAAAUUAGAUCGGAGCAUCCAAGUGGGUCAAUUCGAAUCCAUAUCAAGAAAUAAAUAAUAUAUUACCAUUUAUAUUAAUGAAUAAUAAGAAAGAAAAGUCAUGUCUGUUGAAAAAGUAAAGAGUUGUGUCUCUUCAUAAAAGAUGAAAAGCCAAAAACAGAAAAUAAAAAGCAACGUGCUUUACUAUUUUCUCUCUCUUCUUUUUAUGUGAAGAACUUUAGUGAAAAGAUUCUGGUGAAGAUUAAGCAAGGGUGGCUCAAGGAUAAGGUUAGUAAAGUCUUUGUUUUAGGCCUCCAAAAUUUUACGGUCUCAAAAUAUUUUAGUUGUUACUUUUAUAACUUUAAUUUCUUUGACAAUAUUGAAUAUGGUAAAAUAAAACUAUUACCAUUCAAUUGAAAUAUUUUAAAACUUGAAAUUAAACUACUCAAAUAUUUAUAAUAAUAAAUAAAAUAUUUACAAUAAAUAACAUCCAAGGUAAUGUAUUGAAA
rnacentral:lncRNA from 1 species